rnacentral:lncRNA from 1 species
GAGAAUAGCUCCAUUGAUUUCAAAGGUCAAGAUGUGCAGUUCAUCCCAUUUGGUUUUGGAAGGAGGAGCUGUCCUGGGAUUCCCUUUGCAGUUAGUGUUAUUGAGUACGUGAUGGCUAAUCUUUUGUAUUGGUUUGACUGGAAGUUACCUGUGGGCGAAAUUGCUGAGAACUUGGACAUGACUGAACUCUAUGGCCAAACAAUCAAUAGGAAAAACCCUCUUCAUGUUGUACCUAUGUCUCAUUUCACUUUUUAGAUAUUAUAUAUUGGCUAUGGUUUGAGUCUUUUAGCUCUUUCUUUUAUUUGGAGAAGACAAUGCUACUAUCUUUGGUUCUUGUUGUAGUAAUUCAACGAAUCCUUAUCGUGCAAGUAAUCAAUAUAAUAAUUCAAGUGCAUUUGACAAAUUUGUUCCAUGUGAAAAUGAAACAAAAUAUUUUUCAAUACAUAAUAUUUGUUUGGAUAAAGACAAGCUUCAUUUACGCAUCCACCAUCUCUUUUAUGGUAAUCAAAGCUUAUUGAGCUCUCAGUAGCGAAUCCUUUUCUUUUCUCUCAAACCUAAGCCUCUUCACAACCCCUCAGACAAAAAUGGCCACCAAAUCAACUGUUGUUAACCUUGAUAACACCAACACAAUUCCAUUGUGGUGAAGUUCAAUCCGGCAUCUUAGUUGCCUAUCAAACCAGUAGGCAGUCACAAUUUCACGACUUGGAAACCACAAAUCUCCGUGCUCAUGCAUGGACAUAACCUCUUUGGUCAUCUCCACGGCAUAUCUGUUGCUCUACCCACCACAAUUUCUUACGAAAAUAGGAACACUCCAAAUCCAUUAUAUCAAAACUGGUUUCGCCAAGACCAGUUGGUUCAAAACGCCAUUCUGGAGUCGGUCGGUCCUUCCUUACGUCUACUGUUAAUUCACAUUAUUUUACCUCCAAUAAUUCAUUUUUGGUCCAAUAAUUCAUUUUUGGUCCAAUAAUUCAUUUACAUUAUCGGCUUUGCUUCAUUUUUGGUGGGAUCUCUACUUUUUCAAUAAUCCUUCACUUUUUCAAUAUCCUACAUACAUCAUUCAUUUGCAAGUUUAAUUCACAUUAUUUUACCUCCAAUAAUUGCGGGGUUUACUUGAAAUUCUUUUGGUUUCAAUAGGUUUUUAUUUUUUAUUUUUUUAAUGCUUAAUUUUAAUAAAUAAUAAUGAGUUUUUGGAGAAAUAUUUAAGAAAACUUUUUUAGUUGCUACUAUUUAUAUAUUAUUAUGUAAUAUUUUUGGUUUUAUUAAGUAUUUGAUUUUAAAUACUUCAAUAUUCGUACAAUUACAAUUUUUACAAAAAAAUAAAAAUAAAAUUACUCAUAAUAAAUCUGGACAAUAUUAUGUCUAGGUUGAUUUAAAUUUGAUCAAUAAUUUAUCAAUUUAUAUUUUUUAGAAAUUUAUAUAUUUAGAUGGGUUUAGUGUAGGAUUUUUUAAUAAUAACAUAUGUUUUUUUUAUCUUAUUUUGUUAAAAUAUAUUUUUUAUUUUAAUAAAAAGGAAUUUUAAUUAAAUUUUUAUGAAUUAAAAAGUUAAAAGACGCAUGGCUUGACUUGAUUCAUCAAAAUUUUUUUUUAAAGUUUUGGACUAAAUAUUUUUAAGUAUCAAAAUUAGAAAACAAAUAUAUAAAUAUGAAUUAAGCUAAAAAAUAAAUAAAACAAAUAAUUUAAUUAUUGUUAGAUAUUGACCGAUGAAAAAUUAGAGCUUGAUUGAAACAAAACAUAUAUAUUUUUUAUAUUCCCUCAUUUUUUUGUACUUUUUCAUAUAUAUUUUUUAAUAUUCUCUCGAGUAUUAAAAAUUAGGAGAGAAUAUCAAAAAGUAUGAGAAAGUAUCAAAAAAAAUAUAAGAGAAUAUCAAAUAUUAAUUUAUCUUAUAAACUUUUCUUUAUUUUUUAUUUUUUAUUUUAAAUAUUAUUUGUAUAUAUAAAAAAAUUUUAUUAGUAUACAAAAAUAUUUAUAUUUAUAUUAAAAAAUAAAUUUUUAAAUCAAAACUUUAUUUUGAAGCAAUGACAUGCUAAAAAUUAUGAGAGAAUACUAAAAAUUAUAAGCAUAACCAAUAAUUAUGAAAGCAUACCCAAAAUUAGGAAGGAAUAACAAAAACUAUGAGAAGAAGGAAAAGAAAUGAAGUUGUUUGUGUUAGACUAUCAUUAAUACCACAAAUUUAAAAGGUUUAUAGCUUAAAAAAAAGGCAUUUAAGAAAGAAUAGCUUGCUCUAAAAAAAGUUAAUUAAGUUAAUUUAUUAACGAUUUCUAUUUUAAAUCAUGUUGACCGUUAAAAUUAAUUGAUGGAUCAAUUAGAUGCUGACACGUGAUAAUUUCUGAUUUAAUCAUAUAUUUUCUCAUGAAAAACAUUAAAAAUCAUAAAAAUUUAUAAUGAAAUCUAACAAAUUAUAAUUUUUUUAUAAAAUUAAUAAAAAUAUAUUUAAAAUGUUUAAAAUGUUAUAAAAACUAAUAAAAAUUCAUAAAAAUUAUUAAAAUCAUAAAAAAAUUAUAACAAUUAUUAAAAUUUAAAAAAGAAAAAAGAAAAUACUAGAAUUGAUAUAAACUUAUAAAAAUUAUAAAAAAAUCACAAAAAUUUAUAAAACUUAUAAAAACUACCUAACAGAAAGACUAGUUGGGGACCGACUGAGGCUUUGAGACAAUUCUGAGACGAGUCAAAUCAGUAUCAUUCCGAGGACGCAACGAGGGUGUUACGAGAAUAGGUAGGGGAGAAUGUCAUGGGCCACGGAUCAAAGCCCGUGAUGAAUGCACACAUUUAAACUAGUCUAAUUCGUGAAAUACAUGGAAAAACCUAUCUAUUUAAAGCAUUGUGACCUAGUGAAACUCUCUACUAUGACUAGAGUUAGUAGAAUAAUUAUUGUAAAUCUUAAGAUUUUAUAAAAUUUAAAUUCUUUAAAACUUUCAUGUAGAUAAACAUUAAUUUCAACUAUUAAUAUAAUUUUUGUACCCUCGAAUUCUUUCAUUAUGUGUUGCACUUAACCACUGUCACCCAACCUCCAAUAGUUUGAGAUGUGUUUGUAAAGGAAAAAUUCUGUCCUUGUCAAAGGAUCAUUUAGGCGUGCCCUAGGAAGGGGAUGGGUUUAAUAAUAUAUGUUUUUUACGUAAAAGUUAAAAAGAUGCGUGGGAUGACUUGAUUGAUCACCUUUUUUUGGUAACAUCAACUUAUAAUGAAAUGAUAUUUUAAGUAUUUAAUUGAGUAAAGAAAAGUUCAAAUAUUAAGUAGAAAAAUAAAUAUAUUUUAGAGGUCAAAUCGUGCAUUAAGGGAGAAAAAUAAAUAAAUAAAAAUAGAAAUUCGGUUCAAGUUUGAUAGAGUGUUAUUUAAACUUAGUUCUAUUUAUUUUUUUGUUGAAAAAUAAAACAGCAAUAUUACAUCAAAUUAGAAAAGAUCAAAAACGCUCUGUUCUACUUACCUCAAUUGAGCUGUUGUUGGUGAUAUUUUUUAUUUAUUUAAUUUUAAACAAUAAGUCCCAAAUGAAUAGAAUUUGAGAGCUUUUAAUUGUUAAACUUUUCUUUUUUAAUUUUACACCCACUCCCUAAUUUGACAUUAUUUGGGUUCGAUACAUCCAAAAUACCCAUUUUUGUAAAUCCAGCUUAGGAAUAGACUCAAAUUGGAAAGGUUGAUGGGUUUAGAGGAUCUAAUAGAGCUGAUGAAAAGAGACAGGAAAAAGAAGCUUUUGAAAUUUAUGAUGGAGAUGGAAGUGAGUCAUUAUGUCACGGGGCUAGAUCUUUCGUCUCGCGAUCCGUGCAGUCUUAGCCGACCCGUUCGUCCAAACUCGCCUAAGUCGAGCUUUACACAAGUGAGGAUUCCUUAAGAACUCCUCCAAUGCACCAAUUUGUAUAGCGGAAGCAAUUUAUGCCAAAAGAAGUUGAAACACCCCUUACCCGUGUUCCUUACCGAAACAAAGUAUGAGGUAUUACUAGAACUCAAACACUUAUAAAUUUUUUUAAUAAAAAUUUCGGCAGCAUUUCUACUUAUUUUUACAAAAAAUCCCCUGCAAAUUUCCAAAGACAAUUUCAAACAACUUCAAUAUCUCCAACCAAUUACAGUUAUAUAUUCAGACAUGAUUUAUCCAUUAAUAAACACCAACAUAUUAAACCGAACAAUACUAUAUAUAUACAUAUUUAUACCACAUUACAUAAAGUCAUCUAUACAUCCCAUGUUUCAAAAGUGUUGAUUGCCAAAAUACCCAAAAAGUUGAUGAUAGUGUGGAUGAUUUCCUGACUUCGUCCAAGUUCCGAGCUGGCUGAUGUCACUAUAAUCAGGAAAAAUAAAGACGAGUAAGCAUAUAGCUUAGUAAGUAAACAUAUGACAAAUAAAUAAAUUUCUCACAAGAUUACAUAGUGACAUAAUUUUAUCACACAUAAAUUUCAUUGUUUGUUCAAUUUCCAGCAAACUGCUUUUCUGCGUCACAGUCACUAAAUUAUUUUUAUCUGGAGCUAUAGGGCUCCAAAUUAAGUUCCGUAAAUUUCCUCCGAAACUAGACUCAUAUACCUUUCUAUCAUAAAAUUUCAAGAAUUUUUGGUUCAGGAAAUUAGUACAGUUUAUUCUUUAAACAUCCCUUGUAUCACUGCCUAACAGUUCUGACCUCUCUUUACUAAAAUUUACUUAUCUCCCUGUACAAAAUUCAAACAAUGUUCUAGUUUAUUUAUCUUAAAAAUAGACUCACUAAGGAAUUCAAGAAUGUAAAUUUCAAGCCAUAAUUAUUUUUAUACAAUUUUUGGUGAUUUUCCAAAGUUGGAACAGGGGAUUUCAAAAUCAAUCCAACCCUGUCUCAAUAAAAUUUAAAUAUCCCCAAAUAUACAACUCCUUUACUUGCUCUGUUUCUUUCAUAGGAAAAUAGACCCAUUCAGCUUCAAUUUCAUAUAUUAUUUAGCCUAUAAUUCAUUUUCCACCAUUUAUGGUGAUUUUUCAAAGUUUCCCAACUGUUGUUAUACAAAACAGUUUUAUAUUUAAAUUUGCUCUUUUGAAGUUUUGGUGUUUUCCUUCACAACUUACACAUGAGUUGAUUAAGUAUCAAACCCAAUAUUCCUCACACAACCUUGUCCACCAUAUAUAAAUAUUCACCUUUCCAAUUUUUCCGUUGAACACUCGGAAUGUUAUCCGUUAUCGGUGGAUUCAGCACUUAGCAACCACCAGUGAUUCGAGGAAUCAGCACUUAGCAACCCCUUGGGGGAAUCAGCACUUAGCGACCUCCUUUAUAUUCAAUGUACUCCAGCCUAUUCCGAGUGUUCAAUCGAAAACCGUAUUUUUCAACACUUUACCACAUUUCCCAACUUAACCACAUUUUUAGUAUCUAUACCAAGUAUUCAUUCUAUGUUCAAUUAAAUCUCAACAUAUAUUAGAUAAUACCAAAAUAAUGCAUUAAUUCACAUGUUUACUUACCUCGGUUCAAAAUAUCGAAAUUUUGUAAUUUACUCCACCAUCUUCUCUUUUCCUCGUUUGAGGUAGUCUUCUCGUCUUUCUUGAUCUAUAAUAGCAAAUUUAACUCAUUUAAUGUUCACAUUUAAUAAAAUAGUCCUCCACACAACUUUUUAAAAAAUUACAAUUUUGCCCCUAAACUUUUACAUAUUUACACUUUUGUCCCUAAGCUCGGAAAUUAAACUCCAUCUCUUAUUAUUAUGUUUUAUGACAUGCUGAACAUUUUUCCCUUCUAUGACAACAUCAAAUUCUCACUCUAACACACACUUUUAAACAUUAGGUAUUUUUACCGAUUAUGUCAAUUUACCCGUUUUCGUUUAAAAUCGCUUAGCAAAAGUUGUUUAACAUAACUUCUAGCUUCAUAUUAUACCAGAAAACAGCAAAAUAAACACUUUUCACCUAUGGGUAUUUUUCCAAAUAUAAACCCUAACAUGAAUUAACGGUAGAAUAAGCUACCGAAUUGGGCCAGUUCUUGUGGGCCAAAUGAUCCCCACCCACACAAUAGACCUCCAUCAAAUGCAUUUGGUGCAAUGGUCAUGGGCUUUGAACUACAGCCCGUGACAAUUAUACCCAAAGGAUAGAACAAAUUUGUCGCCAUGGAAAAAAUCUACUAUGCAAAGAUGCAAGGAAAGAGAAUCCGUGCAUUACGUGUUUGCACUCAACUACUAUUACACCCAUCCUCCCCAAUAGUUUGUGAUGUGUUUGUUAAGGAAAAAUUUUGUCGUCAUCUAAAGAUUCUUGAGAGUUCACCAGGAAAGACAUGGGUUAAGAGUAGGCUUCUUAAUAAUAAUAAUAAUAAUAAUAAUAAUAAUAAUAAUAAUAAUAAUAAUAAUAAUAAUAAUUGUAACACCUUAAAUUAAACCUAAACGUUAGAUCCGAAUUGGGAUAUUACAUUAGCCACCGUAAUGACCCAAUAAACUAACGGUAUUUAUAAAGCAAUAAUUUUAAAAUAUGUUUAUUUUAAAAGAAAACUUAGCCUAUUUUCAGAAACACUCACGAGUUAACAAAAAUCCGAUUAAGUUUAACAUUUUCCUUACAAUGGUGACUACUUUUAAAAACUUAGUUAAUUUCUAAUUUAAUUGUAAUCUAGCAAUAGAAAAGUGAUAAUCAACUUAGUUUCAAUUAAGAAAAAUAGGAUUUAUUUUAUGCAUAUUUAAUUCUAAUUUCAUGUUUCAACAUCAUAAAUUCAAAUUAAAUGUCAUACAUGCUAUAUAAAGCCCAAAACCUAAGUCCUAAGAUGAAAAUAAUGGAGGAGUGAGCUUAUGAAGCUCAGUGUGAGUUCAAUCACAAGGAAAUUAGUGCAAACAGUAGAUGACUUAUACAAGUAGCAAUUCUUAAAACAAUCACACUCAAAUAGUGAUUUAGAGUAUCAAUAUCAAAAUAUUUCAGAAUUCAUAGUUUAUGUAUGCACAUGCUUAUGAAUGGUGAUGCAAUUUCACUUUAUUAGAAUAAAUCCUACCAACUCUAUUGCACACCACAGUAGGAGUUCCCUAGAACUCUUGUCACAUCCCAAAAUGCAGUUUGGGAGUUUCGAGGUUAGUUUUGGAAAUUUUGGCCUAAAAUUUGGUUUAGGAAUUAAGAUUUUGGGAACCAAGAAAUAGCUUCGUUAAAUGGCUUUUGAAAAAUAAAAUUGAUUUAUGAAAAAAAAAGAAAAAGAGAAAGGAUUUCAAGUUUUAAGGAGGACUGUUUUGUAAAAGGGUUAAAGUUGAGGGUAGCUCAAAAGCAAUUAAACCAAAGUUUUAAAAUUAGCCCAUUUUCUUGUCAUCAAUUGAAAACCCCAAACCAUCAUUCAUCGAUUUUGAUCCUUAAUACUUUAAUUCUUUUGAUUUUUAUCAUCUUCCGAACACCAAAUCUUUUCCAAAUUCAAAAAGAAACAUCAAGAACACCAUUAUUUUCAUUACCACUCAUCUUGUGGAUUUUUCUUGGAUUUCAAUCAACCAUUCAUUUUUCUCCGAAAUCAAGGUAAUGUUUCGUUCUUCCAUUAGUUUUGAUGCAAACUAGUCUUUCAAACCAAGUUUUAAUUCAUUAGAACAAGUAAUUGGUGUGUUAGCCGAAAUUAGAGUUGCUAAUGGCAUAAUUUAGAUUUGUAGACAAAACUAUUGUUUCUAAGUGGUUUUCAACUUGUUUCGAUGAUAUUAGAAAGUUUUUCAACUUGUUUUAAACUUUCGUUGAAAGAUUUGAAGGUUAUGUUGAGUUUUCAUUGAAAAUAUCUAUGGAUUUUGAAAUUUUCUGGAACCAUAAAUUUAAAGAAUUCUUGGUGUUUUGAAGGUUGAGAAUCAUUCUUUUAUGAGUAAUUAGAUGUUUAGAAUCGACCAUGACUAGCAGGGAUGAGUAUGGAUUAAGAAAUUUGAGUUUCGGCCAAUCUAGUUAAAAUUUUCGAUUCCAAGAGGAGUUAUUUUUAAAUCUGUGUUUUUGUUUGAAUUAAGAUGUUUUUUGGUUGUUAAUUGCUUGUAUAUGUUGUGUGGUUAUAAAUGUGAAGAUUCAAAACUGUUGGAAUCCUCUUCGAGCAAGGCAAAAGGUAAAGAAAAGCUAGUUUGAGCUUGCGAUUAUCACACGAAAACGUGAAUGGUGAGUGUUUUGGAGUCGCUGCUAGUAAACACAAUUCAUUGUGUUAAACGGGAGGUCAGGAGUAGCCUAAACCCCUAUUUGAAGUUUCGAGUGUAAGCUUUCUUAUUCAUUUUGUUCAUCUUUGCGAAAUUAUGAUAUGUGAUGUGAAAUAUGCAAUAUAGUGGUUAUUGCUACAAGUACUCUAUGAUUGUGUUAAUAUGUAAAUAGAAUUACUGGUUUAAGCACAUAUGUGUGAUUGACUAUGGUUAUAGCGUAUUGAGCUAUAUGUUAGCACUUGUUAGUGCAAAAAUAAAGAGCAUGCUAUGUGGAAGUGAUAAUGUUGCGUGUAUGAUGAUUAAGAGUAGUGAUAUUAUGCAUUAAAAUAAUAAGUAAAAUUAUGUGUAAUUGUGGACAUUUUGGCCUUGUGAUCUCUUAAGACCGUUGGAUAUAGUUGGCAUGCCAUAGGAUUUGUGAGUACUCACCUUGUGUUUUGAUUUGGGCAUUGAGGCCCGGGACAGUUUGGAAAAAUAAGGGAAUGUGAGCCAAGUUCAAUUCAUCGGAUAUGUUGGAAAGUGUUAGCUUGAUGCUACACUUAUGGGAUAUGUUAGAUUCUUUGAGUCAUUCGUGUAAUAGAGAUCCGUGUAUCCAAUGUGUGGUGAUAGAGCCCACUCUUAUGUUUCAAAAUCUCAAUUUACCAAAUUAUCGUAAAUGAUUUUAUAUAAAUUAUGUUACAUGUAAAUGCAUGUUAAAAUGUAAGUUAACUUAUUUGGGUCAAUGAAACUUGAACUUGAUGAAUUACUUGAUAUAAAUGUGCUUUGAUUGAUUUUGUUUAACGUAUGAUGUUGUGUAUAUAUUAAUUUCAAUCAUUCACUGAGCUUGUUUAAGCCCACACACCUUACUAAAUCUUUGUAGAUAAGCAAUGUUUCUGGUAUGAGCAGUGUAGCCAAGGAAUUGAUCUAAAGAAGGUGAUAAAAUUUUGAGUAGGUGGUUUUAUAAUUAUUUUUGGACUUUUUGAAUAAAGGAAAUGUGGGUUAGAAUUUUUGGUUGGUUAUUAUUACUAUCGUUAUUGUUAUCACUCUUAAUUGUUUUAUUAUGGAUUUGGACCGAUAAGGUUUUAAUGUUAUGUUGGGCUAUGUUUUGGCCAAAUUUGAUGUUUAAUGUUAUAGUGGAUAUUGCAUGUUGAAAAGGGAAUAUGUUGAGCAUGAAAUAUACUCUGUUUUUGCAGACAAGUUGUCAAUAGGUUGUGGAUGCACAACAUAUUUGUUGUGGAGGCCUCAUUCAUAGAUGAAAGCAUUAUUUAGAGAGGUUAAAUGGACAUAAAAUUCCUUUACAACCUUUGUGAGAACAUCGUUAGGAUGAAGGAAAAAUAUUUGCCAACCAUGUUUUUCAACUACGGAAGAAAUCGCUUCAGUAUAUCCCAUAAAUGCGGCAUCUUGAAAAGGAAAACCUUUCUAUAACACCUCGAAUUUUUGGUCUAGAAGAAAUAGCUUUUGAACAAGGGAACAGUUAGGAGACUGCACAUAAAUAUUUAGUUGUGCAAGGAAGUGACAUAAAUGAAUGUCUGCUUCAGUGCUAAGUGAUUUAUGAGUGUUUGGAAGUGUCUAAGAAGUCAGGGGUUUAAGCCUUGGCUUAUGCAAAAUUUUUAUUCUAAGUGAAUAAAAUCCUUGGAUCUAGAUAGUAGGUUCUUAAAUUAUUGUGGUUAAAAUAUGAUACAAAGGAGUUGUUGGUCUAGUAGUAAGUGGCGUGUAGAGUGUAUAUGGGGUCUAAGGUUUGAGUGGUGGAGCAUAAAAAAAAGGAGUAUUUAUUUUGCUGCCUAAUACGUGUGGGUGGUAGAGUUGGAUUGAAAUACUGCUAAAUGGAGUUUGAAUUGGUCAUAGAGAGAUUUGAGGAGAGAAUAUUGGGAUUUGGGAAGGUUGUUGUUGUGGAGAGAUAUAUAUCCAUCUCAUUUGUUCGUUGUUCUCGAUGGGAGAUCGACGAGGUUUUCAAGGUUUUCGUUGUUUUCUCCAACCUGCAUUGCUUUCAUUCCUAACUGGUGGUGGUCGAGGUUGAUUGGCACAUUACUUGGAAACAAGGGUGCGAUGAUCAUUGAUUUUUGGAAUAAGAGUGUUCGGAACGAAAGGAAUCUACAAAUCGCAUUAGGUGUGUAACCACCCCACUGUAACUAUAGAACGGCAAAAUCCGAAAAGCCAAAAUACGACGUUGAGACCACAAAGUGUGCAAUCGCUAGUGUGGAAAGCAAAACUUGCGAAUCAUCGGCGAUAAAUUGUAGAGGCCUCCAUGAGCAUUUCCAUGGGCUUAGGUCGUAAUGGGCCAUGUUGUGCCAUGUGGGCUCAAUGGGCUCAUGGUCCCCACAUGGAUGAAAUCCAUGAUUUGUGGCAUAUUCUGGACUGGGUUGUGUAGAUCUCAUAACCGUGGUGAAAUCUAGGCUGAACGGGCUGCACGAGCGUGUAGGCCCACUUGGGCCGAGUAAUGGGCCUUGGGCCCAUUUACACCGUUAUAACCAUUUAGAUUACCUGAGUCGCUCGAGGUGACUAUAGACCUUUCGGGAGGUCGAUAAAUGAUCGAAAUACCUCCAUAGGGUAAAAUGAUCGAAAUACCCCUAUAAGGUAAAAUGACCGAAAUACGCCCAUAGGGUAGAAUGACCGAAAUACCCUUAUAGGGUAAAAUGACCAAAAUAGCCCUAUAGGGUAAAAUAACCAAAAUACCCCAUUAGGAUAAAAUGACUGAAAUACCCUCAUAGGUUAGAAUGACCAAAAUACCUCCAUUGGGUAAAAUAACUGAAAUACCCCCUUAGGGUAAAAUGACCGAAAUACCCCCAUAAGGUAAAAUGAUUUUUAUACCCCUAAGAGAUGAAAUGAUUGUUAUGGAUUGAUGAUAUGUAUGACUAUGAUUGAGCAUGACAUUUUGCAUACACGUAUGAUAUUAUGUCACAACAUAUUGCUUGGGGUUGGGUUGUUAUAUUUGGAGGAAGUGUACUGUACUGAUAAGGUCGCGGGUCGCCUAAGACGACUGUGGACCUACUAGUGGCUUUGCCACAUACACUGUUACUAAUAACUUUGCUACGAUACUAUUACUGGCAGCUUUGCUAUGAUAUUGGUGUGUUGGCUGGAUGGGUCGAUUUUAUCCCCACAUGGUGUGUUGGUGGUAUGGAGUGGUGUGUUGGCUGGAUUGAGAUGGGUUGCAUUAUUCCACUGCAUUGUUACAGUAUUGGGCUAAGGCCUACACUAAUUCUGUAUUGGGCUAAGGCCCACACUGAUUCUGUAUUGGGCUAAGGCCCACACUAUUACUGUAUUGGGCUAAGCCUACACUGCUACUGUAAUGGGCCAAGGCCCACACUAUAUUGAUACUGUAUAGGGCUCAGGCCCAAAUUGAUUUUGCAUUUUGCAUAGUGAUUGUUUAGAAGGAGAUUACAUACUGAGUUUCGUAAACUCACCCUCUCCUUUAACUUUGCAGGUAAUCCUCAGCCAUAGGCAAUUCGGAGCUGCAAAGGACUUGGAGAAGGCGAAAUAAUCACUGCUUUUCAUAUAUGCAUUUAUUCUGAUUUAAAUAAUAAGUUGGGUUUUGGUUUUGUAAUAAAGUCUUUAAUUUGGUUUUAAAUUUUAAUUGGGUUUUUCACUUACUUAUUUUAUAUUGCUAGUUUGUUGGAAACGAAUUUUCAAAACAAUUACUAUUUCCAAAGACACGGGCUUUAAACAUUAGAGUUUUCAAAAUGCUUUCGGGUUUUAAAUCAACUUAAUAUAACAAAAAGUAGUUAACAUGGCAAACAUAUGAUUAAGUGUUCCAUUAGAUAUUAAUAAGAGGUUUCCAAAAUUAAGAAACAAUUUUGUCAACAAGCCAAAUUUUUUAGAAACACUUCAAUGUGACACGCCAGAUUCGACCAUAACGUCUAGGCCGGGUGUGGGGUGUUACACUUUCUCCAUACAGAAGGGUUGCUUGGAUGCGUUCAUGGUAUACUUUUCUUCAACAGCUUUGUUGAAAAGCAUUCUAAAAGGUACAAAGGUUGAUGAAGAUGGCAUAUGUCGAGCCAUUUAGAACAAGAAAUGGUAACUAUAAGAAGAAAAAGGUGAGAUCUUUACAAUUAUGUAGUAAAUAAUGAAAAUGGUGAAGAAGAAGAAACUGAAAGUAACUUGGGAAAGUAAAUGAAACGACUAGGGUAAAAGUGAGAGAAAAUAGGGCAAUGACAUAUGGGAUAAGAUUAGCCUGAAAUUAUGGUUUGACACAGUAAAGUAAAAAUUAGGCGAGAAAGAAAAAUAAUAUAAAACUUAUUAUAAGAUAGCAAACUAAAAAUUUACAAAUGUGUCAAAUGGGCUAACUACUACAAAGCCUGGGUCGUAAUCUACCUGCAAAGAAAGAAAUAAAAAUUAAUUAAACCAAUGAAAUAAAAUAAACAAAUCAAAAGAAAAUUAAGUAAGUAAAACCAUGUAGAAGAGAACACUAAGUAGCUCGAAAAGCAAUGAAAUGUUUAUCGUGAAUUAUGGGACCCCCCAAUAAUGCUUCAAAUGUUGGCCAUUGACUUUGAAAUUAAAUCUAGUCUUGCCAUCUUUGACUUCUACAUUUCCAUGAGGGUAAACAUGCACUAUCUCAAAUGGGCCAAACCAAUGAGACUUUAAUUUGCUGGGACACAAUUUAAGCCUGGAAUUGAACAACAACACUUGUUGUCCAAAAAAAAUUGUUGUGGAAAAAUCUUCUUGUCAUGCAUCGCUUGGUCUUUUCUUUAUACAAUUUGGCAUUUUCGUAAGCCUGAGCUCUGAAUUUUCCCAUCUCAUUCAACUCCAAUAAUCAGUUAUUUCCAACAUUAAUUCAAUCCAUGUUCAAUUUCUUAAUUGCCCAAAAGCCUUGUGUUCAGGUUCAACAGGUAAAUGACACGACUUCCCAUAGACAAGCUUGAAAGGUGACAUUCCUAAUGGUGUCUUGAAUGUUGUACGAUAUGCCCAGAAAGCUUCAUCCAAUCUAGAUGACAAAUCUUUGCGAGUGGGAUUGACUACUUUCUCCAAAAUUUGCUUAAUCUCUCUAUUAGAGACCUCAGCUUGUCCAUUUGUUUAGGGAUUGUAUGUCGUGAUAAUUUUAUGUUUAACCACAUAUCUAUUCAAGGCAGUAGCAACUAAUAUGCAGUCGAAAUAGGAACCUUCAUCACUAAUCAGAGCACGAGGUGUACUAAACUUGGUGAAGAUAUUUUUAUGCAAGAACUUUAGUUUUGGUUUGACAUCAUUCGUAGAGAGAGUGACGGCCUCGGUCCACUUGGAGACAUAAUCUACAGCCACAAGUAUGUAUAUAUUGCCACAAGAAGGUGGAAAUGGACCCAUAAAAUCGAUUCCCCACAUGUCAAACAAUUAAACUUCUAAGAUAUUUUGCAAUGACAUUUCAUAUCUCUUAGAUAGAUUCCAGUUCAUUGACAACGAUCGCAAGCUUGAUAAAAUUCAUGAGCAUCUUUAAACAUGCUUGCCCAAUAAAAGCACUGCUUCUGGCACUGCUCAAGUUUGUUUGCAACUAUACACUACACCAAAACAGGCUUUUAGCGGCAUCUUUUGUGGCGUUUGAUAGACAAACGCUGCUAAAAAUCGACCAUUAGCGGCGCUAAUCCUAAAACGCCGCAAAAACCUGAACAUCUAGUGGCGUUUUUUAAAAAACGCCGUAAAAGAACAUCAUUAGUGGCGUUUAUAUGUAAGCGCCGCAAAAUACCUUAACCAAAACGCGGCGUUUGGUUUUUAGGUAUAUUAGUAUUAGUGGCGUUUACGAGAAAACGUCGCUAAAGAACAGUAUUAGCGGCGUAUUACAAAAAGCGCCGCAAAUAUCUUAACCAAAACGCACCGUUUGGUCUUGAGGUAGAUUAGAGUUAGUGGCGCUUAUUAAAAAACGCCGCAAAAUAUUGGGACAUAGCGGCAUUUUGAGAGAAACGCCGGUAGAGGUAAGUAAUCUGAGGAAAAAAUUUCAGCAAAACUGUACCGUUUUAUUUUUUCCUAUUAUUGCUUUAGUGGCGCUCAGUAAAAAACGCCACAAAAGAUAUGGAUUUCGCGGCUGUUGUUAAGUAUAAGUAACUAAUUUGCGGCGUUUCCUUUAUAAACGUCGGAACAAAAAUAAGCAAAACGGCUUCAUUUUGUUUCAUUAUAUUGCUUUAGUGGCGCUUUGAAGAAAACGCCGCAAAUAUUUCGGCAAGAUGCUUUUCUUGUUUGGUGGAAUGUUCGUUAAAACGACGCCACUUUUGAUUUUCUGUAUUGGUAUUAGUGGCGUUUUUGGCAAAACGCCGCAACAGUAGCCAAUUAAAAUUUUAAGUUUUACGGUUUAAUAUUUAAGUUUUAUCGUAUACGGUUUAGCGUUAAUGAUUUAAGGGUUACGAUGCAAAGUUUUAGCAUUUCGGGUUUAUGGUUUAUACGAGUUUAAUAUAUAUAUGCGCUAUCACUACUAUUCUCGUAUUUGAUCAUAGUUUAAAAGAAGCAGGCGCAUGAAAUUCAAUUUCACUAAAUUUCAACUGCAGGAGACAAUAUUUCAGCAUUAAAAUUAAUAAUUAAGGUGAUUGUUGCUAAAAUCAAUGGAUACAAUGUCGUUUAUCAUUCUUUCCGUUGAAACGCCCUUUCAAACCUGAGUAAAUGCAAUUUGCCUUUUUAUUCGACUAUAAAGUUAUAAUUUAUAUUUUUGAGUUUUAAAAUUUGGUUUAAUAUUUGAAAAUUUCAGGAUCGAUUGGAUAUUGAAUUCGGAUUUAUAAUAUUCAAAGUUAAAACAACGCAUAAUUAGUAAUGUAUUGAUUUCCAGACAUCUCAAGGGUACUAAAAUUUUUCUAUGUAUAACUUAGAGCAUAAAAUUAAAAUUGUAAGACAUUAUUGGAAUAGUGUCAAUAAUUUAUAAAUUGGAAUGCCGAUAGUAGUUAAAUAAUACAUAUAUACUUACAUAUAUAAAAUGUAAUUUUUUAAAAAGAUUUUUACAAAAAAAAAUGUUAGAUCUGUGUCAUAAUUUUAAACUAUUUUAAUUGAAAUGUAAUUAAUAAUUUCAUAUUAAUGCAUCAAUUUAAAAAAAAUGUCAUAACAUUUAUCCAAUUUGAAAAUCCACUAAAAAAAGAAAUAGUUAUAAAUAUAGACAUAUAAAAUAUUAUUAAAAUUGAAUAACUAGUGGCGUUUUAACUCAAAACGCCGCAAUAGGUAGGCUUUAGCGGCGUUUCUUUUAAAAACGCCGCAAAUAAAUUUGCAAAACGGCUUCGUUCUGCUUUCACUAUAUUCCUUUACUGGCGUUUUCUGAUAAAACGCCGCAAAUAUGUCUGCAAUACGACGACAAAACGACGCCGCUUUUGAUUGGAUCUAGUGGUAUUAGCGGCGUUUUUUAAAAAAGCGCCGCAAAAAAGAAAUAAUAUUUGCGAUUUCCGUAUUAAUAUUUAUAGAUAAUUUUAUGUGGUUUGGGGUUUUAGGGUUCGUUACACAAUGUUUAUUAUUUUAGGAUUACAGUUUUGACGAUAUGGGUUUAGAGUUUAGGUUUACAGCUCGGGGAUUUGUGUUCAAGGUUUAGAGUUUACAUUUCAGUGUUAAUAUCAGGUUAGGCAAUUUCUGGCUUAUAAGAUAAUGAAAUUUAAUGUUUUAGGGCUUCAUGUUUAUGGUUUAUGAUUUAGCGUUAAUUAUUUAUGGGUUAUGAUGUUGAUUAUUGCGUUUUAGAUUUAGGGUUUGUACGAUUUACAGUUUAGGGUUUAAUGUUGUGGCGGUUUUAGGGUUUUUUACUAUUUUGAUACAAAAGUCAAAAAAAAUUCGAAUACCAUGUUUUUUACUUCUUAUUAUGUCAUUAUUAGGUUCAGAACCGACAGGGUUUAGGGAAACAUAUAUAUAUGCAUGGCACGAUAUCAUGUAUGAUGAAACAGUUUAAUAUUGUGUACGAGGUAGCGUACGUUAUCAAGAUUUCCAUAACUGAGAGCAUAAAAUUAAAAAUGUAAGACAUUAUAUUUAUAAAUUGGAAUGUUGAUAGUAUUUAAAUCAUGCAUAUAUACUUACAUAUAUAAAAUGGAAAUUUUUUUUAAAUUUGUACAAAAAAAAGAAUAUGUUAAAUCUGAGUCAUAAUUUUAAACUAUUUUAAUUGAAAUGAAAUUAAUAAUUUCAUAUUAAUGCAUCAAUUUUAAAAAAUGUCAUAACAUUUAUCCAAUUUGAAAAUCCAUUAAAAAAAGAAAUAGUUAUAAAUAUAGACAUAUAAAUUAUUAUUAAAAUUGAGUAAUUAGUGGCAUUUUCACUCAAAACGACGCAAUAGGUAGGCUUUAGCGGUGUUUAUUUUAGAAACGCCGCAAAUAAAUUUGCAAAACGGCUUCGUUCUGCUUUAACUAUUUCCUUUACUGGCGUUUUCUAAUAAAACGCCGCAAACUUAUUUAUCAAUUUCAAUAUUGAUAGUAUUUAAAUUGAGAGUAUUUAUAAAUUUGAAUAUUUAUUAAAUAUGUAUAAUUGAAAAACAUGUAUUAAAUCUGUGCCAUAUUUUAAAAUAAUAGUAUUGAAAAAAAAUUAAUAAUUUCAUAUUAAUGUUUCAAUUUAAAAGAAUGUCCAAACAUUUAACCAAUUUAAAAAUCAAUUAAAAUUCAAAAUGCUUAAAAAUAAGGUGAAUAUCUAGUGGCGUUUUUAACUAAAAUGCCGCAAACGAUAAUUAAUUAUUGAAGGACACGUGGCCUUUUCACUGACGCGUUUAGGGUUCAGUGGUAUUUUUGCUCAACGCGCCGCAAACCCGUAAGAUUAGUGGCAUUUUUUUUAAGCGCCACAAAAAAAUUUAAUUAAAACAGUGUCGUUUUGAGGGGAUAUCAGAUUUGGGGUAUACCCUCGCAGCCAGCCCCAAAUCCCUUUUCAGCCAAAUCCCUAAGUCUUUCUGCAAUUUCCCCUCAUCCUUUCUGAUUUCCCCUCGUCCUUUCUUCAUCUCUUUCACACUUCUGUUAUUAAGUUUCGAUUCCUAGCAAAAAAAAACCAUUAAAAAGGGUCAUUACAUCGUAUUUGUUGAAAUCAUUUAACAUUAUUUGCGGCAAAGAGGAGAGAGAACGUGGAGGAACAUCAUUUAAGGUUCGAAUGUCUGAUUGUGGUCUUUAUACAUUGGGUUUUGUCUUAUUUUUUACUUUUAUUUUGCUUGUUUAUUGUUUGAGGAUACUGGAAUUUAAAAAAUUGUAUUUUUCGUGUUUAGGGCUUUCGGUCUUCGACUGUUUCGUUCAUCUUCCUAGAGGUACAUUACUGCUCCGAUUGUUUAGAUCUGGUGUGAACGGUUUCAUUGGUUUCAUCGGUCUUCAACGUUUUCACUUUUCUUCAUCUUGCUGAAGGUACAGAACUCAUGCUUUUUUUUAUUUGAGAUGCUUUCAUUAUCAGUGUAACGGGUUAAAUGGGUUGGACUAAAGGUCAAUAUUCCAUUUCUUCUCCGUUGGUUUCGGUGAAAUAAUUUGGUGCUAUUUUUUUAGUAUGAAAUUUUGAUGUCUACUUUAGGGUUUACUUUAAUAAUUUAUAAAAUUGUUCUGUUAAAUGUGAUGCAGCCGAUUACAUUCCCAGGUAAUGAAUUGGAUAUAUAUUGUUAAAUUUUUUUAGGCCAUGUUGUUAUUUAGUAUGAUGAAACAGUAGUGUUCCAUGUACAGCAGUUUCUGUUUGUUUGUUAUACUUGUGUUUCAUCCAUUUGCUUAAUGUACUGUUGGAAUAUAUAUAUAAAGUACAUUGGAUUGGGAACUGUCAUUUACCUUCUUAUACAUAUAUAUACAUAUAUAUAUAAGUGACAAAAUGAGAUAAUAUCAAAGUGAUACAUUAGUAAAGAUAAUAUCAUCGAACCCAUUUCUCUCUAAGUAUAGUUUAAUUUGCCGAAUAAAAAUAUAUAUUCUGUUCUAGAAUCAGUGUUAUGAUUUACUACCUAUUCUUGUUUUAAAUUGUAAUCCAUCCAUUCUAUGUUUCUAUGGUAUUGUAUCCCAUUGUGUUGAUUUAACAUGUUCAAUUUCAAAAUUAGGCCAGCAUGGAACGCAUAAUUUUGAAUUAUUGUUUUGAGUGAUUAUGACCGUUUUUUUAUCUUAAUUUUCAUAUGGAUUAAAUCCAACCUCUAAUAUGAUUUUAAUAUUUUACUUAAUUAUCUAUUUUCAUAUGUUUUUCUCAGUUACUUACUAUGACUAUUUAUUAAUUUAAUAAUGUAUGUUAGAAUAUAAUGUUGGGUUACAGUUUCAUUUUGUGGUUUGUAAACUAGUAAUUCCGUUUUUAAACUUUCGAUUUAUGGUUUGUAAGCUGAUUCAUAAUCAGUCCGUUUACAGUUUGCUUAAAUCGCAAGAUGUACCUCAUGUGUUAGGUUUUAUUUUCCAUGUUAAUAUUUUCCAGCAACAACUUAGAAAGGAAUAUGUAAUAUGUUCGUGCAAAAAACGCAAUCAUUUGUGCAAGUAACGCAAAAAAUUUUGGACGGAAAUAUAUAUAUAUAUAUAUCAUAAAUACGAUAAUUUAUAUUCUUUUUUAAUAUUACAUAUAUUAAUAUGGACAUGUAACCUGUAUUUAAAUUUUGACAUAAUAAUAACAUUUUAAAUUUUAAAAAAGCUUGUAAAUGAUAAUUUAAUAUCUAUUAAAACCAAUAAUUAUAAGUAUUGUUUUAUUUUCUAUAUAAGUUUUCUAAAUUUAUAAGUUUUGUAAAUAAUUAUUCCAAAUUUAUUAGUAUAAAAAUUUAGUAGUAUUAAAUUUAUAAGUUUUCUAAAAAAGUGUUCUAGAUUUAUUAUUAAUAAAAUUUAUAAGUAUCAAUUUUACACGUUUGUAAAUAAUUAUAUUUUUUAAAAAAUUUAAAUCUUUAUUUAUAUAAGAUAUAUAUGGUGUUUUAAUAUACAUAACCAAAAUAACUCCAAUUUACAUCAUACGAUAACUUAUAAUAAUUUUACAGCAUCCAUAACUCUUUGACAAUCAUUUGCUUACGUAAUACAUAAUAACACAAUACAUAAUUGGUAUAUAAGCUUGCAUAACUUACAUAAUAACUUCACAACGUAUAUAUAAUAACAAUAAUAAAUUACAUAAUACAUAAUAACAUAAUACAAUAACUUAUAUAUAAAGCUUGUAUAACUUACUAAUAACUUUCAUAACUUAUUAUAAUCUGAUAUACAUUACAUAAUACAUAACUUAUAUUAAUAUCUUGCAUAACUUACAUAAUAACUUCAUAACUUAUACACCACUAAUAAUACUAACAUGGGUUAAUACACGUACAUACCUACAUAAUAGAUAACAUAUACUAGAACUGACAUACAUUAAAUAACUUACAUAACUUACAUAAAUUAAAUAACUUACAUAACCUACAUAAAUUAAAUAACUUACAUAAAUUAAAUAACUUACAUAACUUACAUAAAUUCCGUGGACUUACAUAACCUACACAAAUUAAAUAACUUACAUAACUUACAUAACUUACAUAACUUACAUAAAUAGUUAUAAAUUAGAUAACUUACAUAACUUACAUACAUUAAAUUACUUAUAUAACUUACAUUAUACAUAACUUACAUAAAUUAAAUAACUUACAUAACUUACAUAAAUUCCGUGGGCUUACAUAACCUACACAAAUUAAAUAACUUACAUAACUUACAUAACUUACAUAAAUAGUUAUAAAUUAAAUAACUUACAUAACUUACAUACAUUAAAUUACUUACAUAACUUACAUAAAUAGUAACCUUCUUAACUUACAUUAUACACGACUCACAUAAUUAAUAUUAUACACAACUUACAUAAUAACUUUCUUACAUAACUUACAUUACUUACAGUACUUACAUAAUACAUAACUUACAUAAUACAUAAAAAUAUAUCAUAUCACAAAUUUCCGUAAUUCAUUUAUGGUUAUAACUGGCGUUUUAACUUACCCGUGCAAAUUAUUGUGAACGUCAGACUUCAAGAAUUAAGAAAUGGACCGGUCUUGGAUGAAUUUGUCAAGGGUUAGCAACGAUUAUCGAAAUGGAGUACAGUAUUUUCUAAAUUUUGCAUUUCAAUAUGCAAGCCAAGAGAACAUGAUUCUUUGCCCCUGUAAGAAGUGUGUCAACAUAAACUGACAUUAUCGUGAGGUUGUAUACGAGCAUUUAAUUGUUGAUGGGUUUGUUUGGGGUUAUAAACAAUGGUUAUUUCAUGGAGAAUGCCCGCCUAGUACUUCCUCUUCAACGAUGGAUGUAUCUUAUUCUGGUACUGCUUACUAUCAGUCUGAUAGAGGGGAUGACAUGGAAGGUAUAUUGCGGGAUGCAUUUAAUAUGCACAAUCAUGGUGUCCAGUCGUUCCCAACGGACUUUGUACCUUCUGAUGAUUGUAAUAUUGGGAGAAAUGCUUUUACUGAACCGGGAAGUAGUGUACCUCAUGAAGAGUCGAAUGAAUAAGCGGCGAAGUUCUACGCGCUACUUAGUGACAUGAACGAAGAACUGUAUGAAGGAUCAAAAUUUUCAAAAAUGUCUUUCUGUGUUCGUCUUUUUCAGUUAAAAUGUUUGGGAGGGUGGACCGGGAACUCGUUGACAAUGCUGUUAGAGUUUUUAAGAGAAAUGUUUCCGUUUGCAAAAAUCCCUCAGUCAUGCAAAGAUAUGAAGAAAAUGAUAAAAGAUUUAGGCCUUGGGUACAACAAAAUCCAUAGUUGCCCAAAUGACUGUAUGUUGUAUUGGGGCGAUCGAAAAAACCAACAGUGCUGUCAUGUAUGCGGCCAAUCACGUUGGAUAAAUAGAAACACAGAAGAUGGGAACGACGAUGAAAAUGAUGCACAACCAAGAAAGAAGCCGAUCAAGAUUUUGUGGUAUUUUCCGCUGAUACCAAGGCUUCCAAGGCUUUUCAUGUCGUCGAAGACAGCGGAGUCAAUGAUGUGGCACCAUGAUGGACGAACCGGUGAUGGAUUAUUAAGGCAUCCGACAGAUUCUUUAGCUUGGAAAGCAUUUGACAAUAAAUUUCCAAGCUUUGCAAGCGAUCCUAGGAGUGUAAGGCUUGGCCUAGCAUCUGAUGGAUUUAAUCCUUACAAGAUCAUGACUACUGCGUACAGUACUUGGCGAGUAGUGCUUGUUCCUUACAAUCUACCUCCGUGGAUUUGCAUGAAGCAAUCUUCCCUUAUCUUAUCUAUGAUUAUCCCUAGAGAGAAAGGGCUCGAAAAUGAUAUCGACAUUUAUUUACAACCACUUAUUGAAGAGUUAAAAUAAUUAUGGGCUGGUGUCGAGACGUACGAUGUGCUGAGAAAGGAGAACUUUAAUUUACGUGCAACUUUGAUAUGGAUCAUUAAUGACUUCCCCGCUUAUGCCAAUUUAUUCGGUUGGAGUAUCAAGGGUCAUUAUACGUGUCCUUGUUGUGCUGUACAAACAUGUCCGCAAUGGUUAUACAAUGGGAAGAAGUUUUCUUACAUGGGGCAUCGUCGGUGGUUACCGAAAAAUCAUAGAUUUAGAUAUCAGAGUUCUGUAUUUGACGACACUGAAGAGUUCAGAGAAGCUCCUUCCCAGACCAGUGGCUCUGAAAUCUUGUUGAUGUUGGAAGAUAUGAAUUUCAUUUAUGGGAAGAUGAACCAACCGCCAAACACGCAAAGAAACAACAGAUCAAAUGAUGAAGCUGAUGAAGGCUCCGACGAAGAGGACGAUCCUAAUGAGCCGGACUUGUGGAAAAAAAGAAGUAUUUUUUUAGUUGCCUUAUUGGGAGCAUCAUCUUUUACGACACAAUCUUGAUUUUAUACACAUUGAGAAAAAUGUCUGCGAGAAAAUUGUGGGUACAAUUUUAAAUGUCGACGGAAAAUCAAAAGACAAUCUUCAGAGUCGACUUGAUUUAGUCCAAAUGGGAAUUCGACCUGAUCUUCAUCCCAAUCCACUUCCGAAUGGGAAAUAUCGGUUGCCGCUUUCUAUUUUCUCAAUGUCCAAGACGGAGAAAGAACUGUUUUGUAUGGUGCUGAAGGAUAUGAAAGUUCCAGAUGCGUAUGCAUCAAAUAUAUCUCGAUGUGUUAGUGCUAAAGAUCGAAGGUUAUAUUUGCUAAAAUCACAUGACUAUCACAUCUUGAUGCAAGAUUUACUGCCAGUUGCUCUACGAUGUUGUAUGCCGAAGAAGGUGACGUCUUGUAUCAUUGAACUAUCCAACAUAAUGAAAGCCAUUUGUGGCAAAAUUUUGGAUGUUCAAGAACUUUAGAAGGUACAGGAUCGAGCCGCUUUGACUUUAUGCAGCAUGGAAAAAAUCUUCCCACCUUCCUUCUUCACCAUUAUGGUUCACUUGAUAAUCCAUCUCCCGCACGAAGCAAUUCUUGGCAGACCUAUUUUCUAUCGAUGGAUGUAUCCCAUAGAAAGGUGUUAAUUAAAAUUUUUAAAAUUUUUCUUCAUUCACCUCUAUGCCUUUAGUUACAACUUUUGAUAAUAUUGUAUAUUGUGUUUAGGUUCCUAUACAAAUUAAAGUCUUACUGCCGCAACAAGCGAUAUCCAGAAGGAUCGAUUGCUGAAGGCUACUUGGCAGAGGAAUGUAUGACCUUCUGCUCAAGAUAUUUGGAAGAUGUCAAAACAAGGUUGAACAGACCAAAUAGGAAUGCUGAACUCACAGACUAUAACUUAGCCGAUACUUAUUUGUUCCAAAGUUUUGGAGAACCAAUCGACAAAGUUGAAAUUGCAGAAUUAGAUCAUUUAUCGUGGGUACAAGCACAUCGAUAUGUUCUGUUUCACCACGAAUCAUUGGAACCUUUACGGAAGUAAGUUCUACAAAUUUUAUAAAUAUUUAUCGAACUAAAAAUUGUUUAUCUUCUAACAAAGUGAACAUUUUUUUUAACAUAGUGAGUACAAACAAAUAUUGAGAUCUCGUUCGCGCUCCCGAAGAACACAACAUCGAGAUAUCAAUAAGUUGUUUAUAGAAUCUUUUUAUGAAUGGUUAAGCCAAACAGCAUGCAGUUGGAGCUUCCGUUUACAAAUAAUAAUGCUUUCUCAUAACAUUUUUAAUUACUCAGUUUACUUUCCAUUCAAUAGGUUUGGAGUGGGAAGAACGUAAACGACGAAGUUAAAUGGCUUUCACAAGGUCCAAAUCGAGUGGUUAAAAGAUAUAGUGCGUUCCUCAUCAACGGAUUCAGAUUUCAUACAAAAUAUCGCGAGAGGUUGAGGAGAAUGCAAAAUUAUGGAACAGUUGUCAAUUCUGCAAUUAUAAGUUAUGCUAGUGCUAGGGACAAUAAUCCUGUCGAGGGAAAUGUGGAAUAUUUUGGACAUCUUACUGACAUAAUUGAGUUGGAUUACUACGGCAAAUGGAAAGUUGUCUUAUUUCAAGGUGAUUGGGCGGAUGUUAAUACAGCUCGUGGAAUUAAGUAAGAUCAAUUUGGUUUUACAAUGGUGAACUUUGACCGAUUGAUUCACACAGGACAACAACUGAUAGAUGAGCCGUAUGUAUUCUCAUCUCAAGUCAAACAAGUUUUUUACUCAAAAGAUCCAACUGAUGAGGGUUGGUACGUUGUACUCCGUAACAUCCCUAGAGACUUGUUUGACAUGGGCAGUGGAAGUAGAGAUAACAUCGACGACAGAUCAGAAACUUUGCCCUUUCCAGAACAAAACUUAAACGAUAAUAUCCCUAGUACUAGUGCACAAUUUCAAUGGGUUCGUCAGGAUAUCGAUGGUAUUUACGAAUAAUGAUGUAGUAAGAUUUUACAAUUGUUUAAUUAUAUGUAAUAUCAUAAUUUAAAUCUUGGCCUUAUUAUAUAUUUCAGUUGUUUUAUAUGUGCUGUUAUUGUUGUAAUUAGUUAUUAAGUUGUGAACUAUUUUAUGUGUAUUGCAGAUAAAAUGCCUAGAAGAAAAAUUUUAAGGGGAAGCAUUGUUCAAAAUGAUCCAAACUCGACAGAAACAAAUAGUACUGAACAACAGACAGUAAUUGGAUCUUCGAAUGUUCCGAUUACAGCUGAGGAUCCAACAGAAGUUCAAAGUAAUUUUACAUUUAAUUUACAUGCGUGUUGACUUAUAGUUGAUUUAUUUUUCAAAUUCUUAUAUUAUAAUAUACCAUUUGUAGCUGAAAAUGGUGGGACGCGCAGAGGUCGAGGAUGUACGCUACUUAGAGAGUUAUACGAGUUAGAUCCAGUCGAGCAUGUCAAAGUUGGACGAAACAGUUUUGGUCAGCCUGUUGGAUCAGAAGCUCGACUUUUAGCAGGAUACAUGGGCAUUUUAGCACGAAAUCCGAAUAUGUUGCCUAUCAACUAUGAGUCAUGGCAUCAAAUGCCCGAUAGCAACAAAAACCAAGCCCUCGAUAAUAUUAAGAUAACACAGAAUGUUAAUGUCAUCUGUAAUGCUUGGGAAGUAGUUUCAUUUAUAUUUACUUUAUUAACUUGUGUUUUUUUGUUUUUUGUAGGCGAGGUUUGCUUUAGAGGUCUCGGAUGUUUAUGUAAAGAAUGCAUUGGGAAAAAGAUGGAGAGACAAUAAAAGUACUUUGAAGAAAAAUUAUUAUAAGACAAAAACAACCCUCGAUGAGAAAUUGCAAAAUGUCCCGCCGUGUAUGUUGAGGUACCAAUGGGAAGAUGCGGUUAGAUUUUGGCAUUCGAAGAAAUGCGAGGUAUGACAUACUUCCAAACUAUUGUAAUUAUUUUGGUUUACAGUAUUUUCUAUUUACGUACUAAAAAUUUCAUAACAUAGGAUCGUGAACAAGUUGGAAAAAGCAGCAAGCAGAAACAAAAAUUCACCCACACAGCCGGGUCGAGAAGUUUUGCAUGUGUAGCUGAGGCGGAGGUAUUUUUAAUUUUUUAAUAUUGUCAAAUAUGUAUAACUUUCUAUUAAAUAAUAUUUUUACUACUAUAUUGUAGGAACUGUUGUCCGGUCAAAAAGUUGGACGCCUUCAACUUUUUGAAAUUACACAUAGGAAGAAAGAUGGAUCUCCCAUGACUCCUGAAGCUGCUGAAAUAAUGGUACGUUUACUUAAUACGAUUUGACUUGUUUUAGUUAUUUAUAGUGUUUAUUUUCUAAUGGUUUAAUUCAUUGCUUGUAAUGCGACUAUUGUUAUGUUGCAUAUGUUUUUUAAUAUAUAAUAUUGCGUUCCUAACUAUGUGAUUUAUUUAUUAGGAAAAACUAAAGGAUAAAAAGGCGGAGUACGAAGCGAUUGCUUCUAGUGAUAGUUCUGUUCAUCUUGAAGACAUUGACAACUGGAUUAUUACUGAAGUUUUGGGUUCUGAAAGGUAUGGUCGGGUUCGAUUUCAAGGAUCUUUUGUUAGCCCAACCCAAUAUUUUGGAUCCAGCUCGCACCAAUACAUGGCUUCGGGGAGUCAGGCUCAAGCUGAAGUUCAGAGGUUAAAAGACCAAAUGGCUCAGAUGCAAGCGACCACAGUUGAGGUUCAAAAGAAAUAUGAAGAACUCCAGCUACAACUUAAAAAAGAGGCGACAGCGAGGGAAGUAGCGGCUGUAGCGAGGGAAGCGGAGGCUGCAGCGAGAGAAUCAGAGCAGAGCAAAAAGUACGAUGAACUCCAGGAGCAGCUUCAGAUUAUGAUGAAGAUGUUUCAAUCGCAACUUCCGCCGUCAUAGUGUAUGACAUAAAUAUUUUUAUCAUUUUAACAUUUAACAUUUUUGCAAAAAUAAUAUGAAUUCACUUUUAUUUAUUGAUAUUAAUAUUAUUUUAUUCGUUUAAUUUGAAAUAUUAUAUAAAUUUAUUGCUUUUGGCUGGUUUAGAUCUGGUUGCUUUUGAUUUGUUGCUACAGGAGGGCUAAAAAAUGAAAAAUUUAAUAUAAAAAAUCCCCAAAAUAGUGGCAUUUUUGUAAAAAAACGCUGCUAAAGAACAUGUUCUUUAGCGGCGCUUAGACAAAAAGCCGCUAAAGACCAUGUUCUUUAGCGGCGCUUAAGAAAAAAACGCCACUAAAGAACAUGUUCUUUAGUAGCGUUUAUAAACAAAAACGCCGCUAAAGACCAUGUUCUUUAGCGGCGCUUAGAAAAAAACGCCGCUAAAGACCAUGUUCUUUAGCGGUGUUUUUUCUUAAGCGCCGCUAAAGAACAUGGUCUUUAGCGGCGUUUUUGUUUAUAAACGCUACAAACGUUUGCGACGUUUUCGUUAGCGGCCUUUUUUGCGGCGCUUGUGGAAGCGCCGCAAAUAGAUUUAGUGGCGUUAAGAAGCGCUGCUAAAGGCCUAAAAAAACGCCGCUAAAGACCUGUUUUGGUGUAGUGAUAGGAUUAGUCCUUUCAAUAUAUUUUCAUGUCCUUUAAAGUUUGAACAUUCAAUUUAAAAGAUAUAUGCUAGUUGGACCCUAUAUUUAGAGGCUAUUUGCAUGUUGUUAUUAUUGCUGGUGCAUUUAUCCAUAACUGAUAUGUUGUUAUUUUCUUCUCCAGCCUAGACUGUGGUGGCAGAAUGAGAUCCACAGUCUCCAUUAUCGGUACUGAAAACAUCAGUUGUACAGAUUUGGGAGAGAAUGGUGUUGUAAUAAUUCCAGACUUUGUUCUAUCAAUUGAUGAUUAUCUUCAAAUUCUCACGAGGAUGGCACGGCACACAGUCAAUGGUGUAUUGCAUAGUUUUUUAACUAAAGAUGAUUCGCAGCAUGCUGGCCCGUUGAUCGAAAUUCUUGAACAAUGUGGGCAGGAAGUAGCGAAGAGCUAAGAAACUUGUGAGAUGGGGAUCUUCAGUGUUGGAAUGCUUGAAAAGGGAUAAGCAAUCAUUGUUUCAAGACCCUCCGAUUUCUUUGCAGGUAAUGUUAGUAGGUGAACUGUUGCACCUGCAGUUUUGCUAAUGCAGCACUGGUGUUGACAAUUUGUAAAAUUAGUAGGCUGUGUGGUCAUAAAGAGGCAUAAAACAAGUUAUUUGAUUAUUGCUAGGUAUCGAAUGAUGAAAAAUUAGAGCUUGAUUUGAGAUAAAAUCAAAUUAUUCAAGUUUGGUUCCAAUUCCAAUUUAGCUGUUGGUUUUUCUUUUAUGGUUUAAAUUUUAAACAUUGAUGGAGCAUUAUUUAUUUAUCAUGUUUUAGUAUAUAAAUUAACAAUAAAUUAAUUUUAACAGAUAAUAUCUAGUUAUUUACAUGAUUUUUUUUAAGAAAUCAUUUUUCCUUGCUACUUAGUUUUUUAGUUUCAAAAAAUUAUAUUCAUUAUCACUACACCAAAACAAGCUUUUAGCGGCGCUUUUUUAGGCCUUUAGCGGCGCUUUUUAGGCCGCAGAUACUUUUAGCGGCGCUUUUCAAAGCGCCGCAACAUACGCCGCUAAUGAAUGCGCCGCUAACUUUUGCGGCAUUUUUUUUCUCUAAACGCCGCUAAAGACCCUGAUCUAUAGCGGCGCUUCUAGCACAAACGCCGCUGAAGACUAAGACCUUUAGCGGCGCUUUAGUGGAAGCGCCGCUAAAGACCCUGAUCUUCAGCGGCGUUUGUGCUAGAAGCGCCGCUAUAGAUCAGGGUCUUUAGCGGCGUUUUUUUCUCAAACGCCGUAAUAGACCCUGAUCUAUAGCGGCACUUUCUCCUAAAACGCCGCAAUAGACCCUGAUCUAUAGCGGCGCUUCGACCACAAAACGCCACUAAAGAACCUAAUCUUUAGCGGCGCUUUCCCCAAAAACGCCGCUAAAGACCAUGAUCUUUAGUGGCGCUUUUUCCACAAAUGCCGCUAAAGACCCUUAUCUUUAGCGGCGCUUUGACCAAAAACGCCACUAAAGGCCAACACCUUUAGUGGCGUUUUUUUUAAAAACGCCACUAAAUUUGGCAGAUUUGUAAAAUAAAAUUUUUUAUAUUUUCAGCCCUCCUGUAAAAACAAAUCAGAAGAAAUCAUAUCUAAACCAGCCAAAAGUAAUAAAUCUAUAUAUUAAACAAAUAAUAAAUAUCAAUAAAUAAAAUAAAUUUCGUAUUAUUCUUACAAAAAUGUUAAAAGUUAAAAUGAUAAUUAAAAGUCAAAAUCGAAGUAUAUUUACACGAUAGUCUAAGACGGCGGCUGUUGCGACUGCUGAAACAUCUUCAUCAUGCUCUGAAGCUGCUGCUGGAGUUCAUCGAACUUUUGACGUUGCUCUGCUUCCCUCGCUGCAGCCUCUGCUUCCCUCGCUUUAGCCUCUGCUUCCCUCGCUGCAGCCUGUACUUCUCUAGCUGCCGCCUCUGCUUCUUUUACUGCCGAUCUGCUUUAAGCUGCUGCUGGAGUUCUUCAUACUUUCGUUGAACCUCAGCUUCUCUCGCUGCUGCAUCUGCUUUCAAUUGUAGCUGGAGUUCUUCAUAUCUUUUUUGAACCUCAGCUUCUCUCGAUGUUGCCUCCGCUUUAAGUUGUGUAAUUUGCUCAAUUGUUGUCGCUUGCAUCUGAGCCAUCUGGUCUCUUAACCUCUGAACUUCAGCUUCGGCUUGACUCCCCGAAGGCAUAUAUUGUUGCGAGCUAGAUCCAAAAUAUUGGGAUGGGUUAACAAAAGAUCCUUGAAAUCAAACCCGACCAUACCUUUCAGGACCCAAAACUUCAGUGAUAAUCCGGUUAUCAAUGUCGUCAAUAUGAACAGAACUAUCACUGGAAGCAAUCGCUUCGUACUCUGCCUUUUUAUCCUUUAAUUUUUCCUAAAAAAUAAAUCCUAUAGUUAGGAAUGCAAUAUAUAUUAAAAAAACCCAAUGCAACAUAACUUAACAAUAUUUGCAUUACAAUAAAUGAAAUAAAUCAUUAGAAAAUAAACACUAUAAAUUAUUAAAACAAUUUAAAUUGUAUUAAUUAAGCAAACGUACCAUAAUUUUUGCAGCUUCAAGAGUCAUAGGGUUUCCAUCUUUCUUCCUAUGUGUAAUGUCAAAAAGUUGAAGGCGUCCAACUUUUUGACCGGACGACAGUUCCUACAAUACAAUAGUAAAAAUAUUAAUGUAAGUAAGUAAUAAAUAUCUGCCAAUAUUAAAAAAUUGAAAAUACCUCUGCAUGAGCUACACACGUAAAACUUUUCGACCUAGCUGUGUGAGUGAAUUUUUGUUGCUGCCUACUUUUUUUUCCAACUUCUUCACGAUCCUACAUUAUGAAAUUAUUAGUACGUUAAUUAGGAAAUACUAUACACCAAAGUAAUUACAAAAUUUUAUAAGUUAAACAUACCUUUCCUUUCUUCGAAGUCCAAAAUCUAACGACCUCUUCCCACUGGUACCUCAGCAUUCCCGGUGGGACAUUUUGUAAUCUCUCCUCGAGUGUUGUUUUUGUCUUAAAAUAGUCUUUCUUUAAAGUGCUCUUAUGGUCUCUCCAUCUUUUUCCCAAUGCCUUCUUUACAUAAGCAUCGGAGACCUCUAGAGCAAAUCUCGCCUACAAAAAACACAACUUAAGAAAGUAAAUGUAAACGAAACUUAAACCCAAGUAUUAUAAAUGACAUACACGUUUUGUUACCUUAAUGUUAUCGAGAGCUUGGUUCUUGUCACUCUCGGGCACUUUAUGCCAUGACUCGAAGUUAAUGGGUAACAUAUUUGCAUUCCGUGCUAGAAUGCCCAUGUAUCCUGCUAAAAGGCGAGCUUCUGAUCCAACAGGCUAACCGAAGCUAUUACUGGAUACUUGGACACGCUCGACUGGAUCUAGGUCGUAUAAAUCGCUCAGUAUCGUAUGUCCGUGACCUCUCCGCGUCCGACCAGUUUCAUCUGAAAAAUAAAAGUAUUGUAAUAUACGAAAUUUAAAAAAAACAAACAAGAAGUCAACACACAUGUAAAUUAAAUGUUAAAUUACUUUGAACUUCUAUAGGUUCCUCAGGUGUAACCAGAACAUUCGAAGAUCCAAUAGCAGUCUGUUGUUCAGUGCUGUUUGUUUCCGCCGAGUUUGGAGUACCUUGAACAAUGCGGUGCGAUCGCACUUUUCUUCUAGGCAUUUUAUCUGCAAUAGAAAUAAAUUAGUUGAAAACUUAGUAUACAAUUACAAGAAUAAUAUCACAUAUAAAAUAGUUGAAAUGUCAUCAUUCGUAGAUGUAAUUAGAUAAUCGUAAAAGCUUACUACAUUAUAAUUCGUAAAUCUCUUCAUCCGUAUCCUGGCGGAUCCAUUGAAAUUGUGUACUAGUACUAGGGAUGUUUUCGUUUAAGUUCUGUUCUAGAAAUGGCAAAGUUUGUGUUCUGUCGUCAAUGUCAUCUCUACUUCCACUGCCCAUGUCAAACAAGUCUCUAGGGAUGUUACGGAGUACAACGUACCAACCCUCAUCAGUUGGGUCUUUUGAGUAAAAAACUUGUCUGACUUGAGAAGAAAAUACAUACGGCUCAUCAAUCAAUUGUUGUCCUGUGUGAAUCAAUCGAGCAAAGUUUACCAUUGUGAAACCAAAUUGAUCUUGCUUGAUUCCACGUGCAGUGUUAACAUCGGCCCAAUCACCUCGAAAUAAGACAACUUUCCAUUUGCCGUAGUAAUCCAACUCAAUUAUGUCAGUAAGAAGUCCAAAAUAUUCCACAUUUCCCUCCACAGGAUUAUUGUCCCUAGCACUAGCAUAACUUGUAAUUGAGGAAUUAACCACUAUUCCACAAUUUUGCGUUCUCUUCAAUCUCUCGCGAUAUUUUGUAUGAAAUCUGAAUCCGUUUAUGAGGAACGCACUAUAUCUUUUAACCACCCGAUCUGGACCUUGGGAAAGCCAUUUAACUUCGUCGGUGACGUUCUUCCCACUCCAAACCUAUUGAAUGGAAAGUAAACUGAGUAAUUAAAAAUGUUUUGAGUAAAUGUUAUUAUUUGUCGGUGAAAGCUCCAAUUACAUACCGUUUGGCUUAACCAUUCAUGAAAAGAUUCUGUAAACAACUUAUUGAUAUCUCGAUGUUGUGUUCUUCAGGAGCGUGAACGAGAUCUCAAUAUUUGUUUGUACUCACUAUGUUAAAAAUAUGUUCACUUUGUUAGACUAUAAACAAUUUUUAAAUGAUGAAUAUUUAUCAAAUUUCCAGAACUUACUUGCGUAAAGGUUCGAUUGAUUCGUGGUGAAACAGAACAUAUCGAUGUGCUUGAACCCACGAUAAAUCAUCUAAUUCUGCAAUUUCAACUUUACCGAUUGGUUCUCCAAAACUUUGGAACAAAUAAGUCUCGGAAAAGUUAUGAUCCGUGAGUCCAGCAUUUCUAUUUGGUCUGUUCAACCUUGUUUCAACAUCUUCCAAAUAUCUUGAACAGAAGGUCAUACAUUCCUCUGCCAAGUAGCCUUCAGCAAUCGAUCCUUCUGGAUAACGCUUGUUGCGGUAAUAAGACUUUAAUUUGGAUAGGAACCUAAACACGGUAUACAACAUUAUCAAAAGUUGUAACUAAAGGCAUAUAGGUGAAUGGAGGAAAAUUUUAAAAAUUGUAAUUAACACCUUUCUAUGGGAUACAUCCAUCGAUAGAAAACGGGUCCGCCAAGAAUUGCUUCAUGCGGGAGAUGGAUUAUCAAGUGAACCAUAAUAGUGAAGAAGGAAGGUGGGAAGAUUUUCUCCAUGUUGCAUAAAGUUAAAGCGGCUCGAUCCUGUACCUUCUGAAGUUCUUGAACAUCCAAAACUUUGCCACAAAUGACUUUCAUUAUAUUGGAUAGUUCAAUUAUACAAGACGUCACCUUCUUGGACAUACAACAUCGUAGAGCCACUGGCAGUAAAUCUUGCAUCAAGAUGUGAUAGUCAUGUGAUUUUAGCGAAUAUAAUCUUCGAUCUUUAACACUAACACAUCGAGAUAUAUUUGAUGCAUACGCAUCUGGAACCUUUAUAUCCUUCAACACCGUGCAGAACAAUUCUUUUUCCGUCUUCGACAUUGAAAAAAUAGAAGGCGGCAAUCGAUAUUUCCCGUUCGGUAGUGGAUUGGGAUGAAGAUCAGGUCGGAUUCCCAUUUGGACUAAAUCAAGUCGACUCUGAAGAUUGUCUUUUGAUUUUCCGUCGAUAUUCAAAACUGUACCCACAAUGUUCUCGCAGACAUUUUUCUCAAUGUGCAUAACAUCAAGAUUGUGUCGUAGAAGGUGAUGCUCCCAAUAAGGUAACUAAAAAAAAAUACUUCUUUUUUUCCACAACUCCGCCUCAUUAGGAUCGUCCUCUUCAUUAGAGUCAUCAUCAGCUUCAUCAUUGGAUCUUCUAUUUCUUUGCGUGUUUGGCGGUUGGUUCAUCUUCCCAUAAAUAAAAUUCAUAUCUUCCAACAUGAACAAGAUUUCAGAGCCACUGGUCUGCGAAGGAGCUUCUCUGAACUCUUCAGUACCGUCAAAUACAGAACUCUGAAAUCUAAAUCUAUGAUUUUUCGGUAACCACCGACGAUGCCCCAUGUAAGAGAACUUCUUCCCAUUGUACAACCAUUGCGAACAUGUUUGUGCAGCAUAAUAAGGACACGCAUAACGACCCUUGGUACUCCAACCGGAUAAAUUGGCAUAGGCGGGAAAGUCAUUAAUGGUCCACAUCAAAGCUGCACGUAAAUUAAAGUUCUCCUUUCUCACCACAUCGUAUGUCUCGACACCCGCCCACAAUUGUUUUAACUCUUCAAUAAGUGGCUGUAAAUAAAUGUCGAUAUCAUUCCCGGGCCCUUUCUCCCCAGGGAUAAUCAUAGAUAAGAUAAAGGAAGAUUGCUUCAUGCAAAUCCACGGAGGCAGAUUGUAAGGAACAAGCACUACUGGCCAAGUACUGUAGGCAGUGCUCAUGAUCUUGAAAGGAUUAAAUCCAUCAGAUGCUAGCCCAAGCCUCACACUCCUAGGAUCGCUUGCGAAGCUUGGAAAUUUAUUGUCAAAUGAUUUCCAAGCUAAAGAAUCUACCGGAUGCCUUAAUAGUCCAUCAUCGGUUCGUCCUUCAUGGUGCCACGUCAUUGACUCUGCUGUCUUCGAUGACAUGAAAAGCCUUUGAAGCCUUGGUAUCAGCGGAAAAUACCGCAAAAUCUUGACCGACUUCUUUCUUAGCUGUGCAUCAUUUUCAUUGUCGUUCCCAUCUUCUGUGUUUCUAUUUAUCCAACGGGAUUCGCCGCAUACAUGACAGCACUAUUGGUUUCUGCGAUCGCCCCAGUACAACAUGCAAUCAUUCGGGCAACUAUGGAUUUUGUUGUACCCAAGACCUAAGUCUUUUAUCAUUUUCUUCAUAUCUUUGCAUGACUGAGGGAUUUUUGCAAACGAAAACAUUUCUCUCAAAAACUCUAACAGCAUUGUCAAUGAGUUCCCGGUCCACCCUCCCAAACAUUUUAACUGGAAAAGACGAAUGCAGAAAGGCAUUUUUGAAAAUUUCGAUCCCUCAUAUAGUUCUUCAUUCAUCUCAUUAAGUAGCGCGUAGAACUUCGCCGCUUCUGCAUUCGGCUCUUCAUGAGGUACACUUGUUCCCGGUUCGGUAAAAGCAUUUGCACCAACAUUGUAAUCAUCAGAUGUCAUAAAGUCAGCUCGGAAUGACGGCUGAAAACCAUGAUUGUGCAUAUUAAAUGCAUCUCGCAACAUACCUUCCAUAUCAUCCCCUCCAACAGACUGAUAGUAAGCAGUACCAGGAUAAGAUACAUCCAUCGUUGAAGAGGAGGUACUAGGCGGGCAUUCUCCAUGAAAAUGCCAUUUUUUAUAACCCCGAACAAACCCAUCAACAAUUAGAUGCUCGUAUACAACUUCGCGAUAAUGCCAGUUUAUGUUGACACACUUCUUACACGGGCAAAGAAUCAUGUUCUCUUGGCUUGCAUAUUGAAAUGCAAAAUUGAGAAAAGUCUCAACUCCGUUUCGAUAACCGUUGCUUACCCUUGACAAAUUCAUCCAAGAUCGGUCCAUAUCUUAAUUCUUGAAGUCUGACGUUGACAAUAAAUUGCACGGGUAAGUUAUGUAAGUUAUUUAAGUUAUGUAAGUUGUGUAUUAUGUAAGUUAUUAUUAUGUAAGUUAUGUAAGUAAUGUAUUAUGUAAGUUGUGUAUAAUGUUAGUUAUCAAAGUUACAGUAUGUAAGUUAUUUAAGUUAUGUAAGUUGUGUAUUAUGUAAGUUAUGUAGGUUAUGUAUAAUGUAAGUUAUUAUGUUAUUAUGUAAGGUAUGCAAGUUUAUAUAUAAGUUUAUAUUAUGUAAGUAUUACAUUUUUAUGUAUCUUAUUUAUAAUUAUUUUUAAAAUUAUAAAAUAUAUUGACAAUAAAAUUGACAUAUAGGUUAUAUAUCCAUACCAUAUAUGGGGUGAUAUAUUAAAAAUAUAGGUUUUAAUAUUUAAAAAUAACAUUUACAACUAUUUUUAAAAUUAUAAAAUUUAUUGACAAUAAAAUUGUAAUAUAGGUUAUAUAUCCAUACCAUAUAUAUAAAUAAAAUUGAAAUAUAGGUUAUAUAUCCAUACCAUAUAUAUAAAUUUUAAAUAUAUAUAUAUAAAUAUUAAGUAAUGUAAUAUAUUUAAGUAAUGUAAGUUAAAAAUUUUUGUAAGUAAUGUAAUAAUUUUAAGUAAUGUAAUAUAUUUAAGUAAUAUUGUAAUAUAUUUAAGUAAUGUAAGUUAAAAAUUUUUGUAAGUAAUGUAAUAAUUUUAAGUAAAUAAUAUAUUUAAGUAAAUUUUAGUAAUUAAUAUAUUUACGUAAUGUAAGUUAUAAAUUUUAAAUAUAUAUAUAUAUAUUAAUAAUUCAUUGACAUUCAUUGACAAUUCACUGACAGUCAAUCAAUUAAUCACAUCUAACGUCGAUAAUUUAUUCAUUGACAUAAAAUCGAAAAUCGAUAAUUUAUUCACAUUAAACCGAAUAAACUAAUUGGCCAUAAUUUAUUCAAUUACUCAAAUAUAAAAAGUGAUUGAAGAAUCAUAAUAUGAAUUUUAAUAAUUUGCCUCAUAUAGUUCUUGGGUAAAUGAUACGUACAAAAAUAACAAGCAUAAUUUAAAACUAGCAUAACUUGUAAUAAGCUGUAAAGUUACACGCAAAUUGAGCUAGCAACAUAUAAAGCAAAGAUGAUCAUUAAAACCGAUACCCACGGCUUUAAAACCAAAAAUCUUAAUUAAAACUCCGUUUUAAAACUAAAAAAAUAACUAAACGAUAAAGCUAAAAUAUAACCAAAUCCAAAAUUUAAACAUUUGGAGGUGUUUUUUUUAAGAAAACUAUCUAGGGAAACAUAGAAAUAAAUACCUCAAAUUUCCUCAACUUCGAAGCAAACUUUUGCAAAAAAACAAAAAACACACACACAAGUAAAUUAGUACCAACAAAACAGAAAAAAAUAAUAGAAGGAAACAAAAGAAUAUUUAACUAAAUUAAGAUUCAAAUCUAAAUUUGAAUUUUAAUUAUCACAACAAUCAGAACAAUACAUAAAGACCAAUGCAGAACAUGACUCUAUAUUUAUUCAGAAUUACCGUAUGAAAUAUUUCCAUAUCAAAUUCACUUCAUUAUUCAUACCAAAUAUUAAUAUCAAAUAUUUAACAACUUUGAUUCAGAUGAAAUAUCUAAAAUCAAAUUCACAUCAAAGAACAUUUGACAGUAGCCUAAAUUUAGGAUCUAACCAACCAUUCUUUUACAAAUUAUGAACAGUUGACAGUAGCUAAGAUGCUGUCUACAGUCACAAUUUCGGCAAAGCAGCAUUGAGUCUCAUAACCCACAAGAUAAAAUUUGUUACAUUUAACUAAAUAUAAACAAGAUCUAUUAUUAAAUAAUAUAUUUUGCUAUCGCAAAACUAGACAAAUAAACAGAACAGGUAUUUGCAAAACAGAAAACAGAAAAUAUCGCUAAACAGACUAGAAAACAAACUAGAAAACAAAACCCAAGAAUUAAUACAAGAUAUUAUUCUUCAAAUAUAUUAUUUUUAAAAAAAAGGCAUACACAUUCCAUUAUCUCCACAAUCGUGGAUCACUCAAAAUCCAAGUAAAAUAAACAUAGAAAUUUAAUCUGCAGCAGCAUCCUAACACUUGUUGAGUUGAAUACAUAGAAAUUUGGGUUUCAAUAAACAUAAUAAUAACUUCAUUAUUAUUUUGAGAUUCAAUUUACCUAGAUUUUCCCUUUUGUGUCCUGCACUUAAAAAAGCCACUAACAAACCCAUCAUUUUGCAACAUAUGCUAAGAAACAGUUUUCAAUAAACAUGAAAUGAUGAUAUUUUCUGCUGCAGAUUAGCUAGAGGAAUGGUUAAUUUUGAGAUUCAAUUUAGCUAGAUUUUCCCUUUUGUGUCCUGCACUUUAAAAAGCCACUAACAAACCCAUCAUUUUGCAACAUAUGCUAAGAAACAGUUCUCAAUAAACAUGAAAUGAUGAUAUUUUCUGCUGCAGAUUAGCUAGACGAAUGGUCAAAGACAUUCAAACGAAUAAAAAUAAUGGAAACCAAAUUGGAAAUUUGAGUAUACCAAAAUAAUUAGAUACCAAAAUAAGAAUUAUACCAAAAUAAUUAGAUACCAAAAUAAGAAAACAGGUAUACUUUAGAAGUUAAACCCUGAAUUAAACUAAUAAACCGUGAAAUAGAAUCCCCACAAAUGGAGUACAAACCCUAACAUGCAUAACUUUUUCUACAAAAUUUAUCGACCCUAACAUGCAAAAAGAAAAAAAAGAAGAUUAACUAUAGAUUAAAAAAAUCCCCAAAUUGACUGAAAGAAAACCCUAUAUGUAGAUCGAUUAUUGAGGGAAAAAGGGUUACCUUUAAAACAAUAAUUCCGCAGCUUUGAUAACAGAGUGUAGAUCGAUUCAACUAUUGCUUUGUUUCUUUUGAUUUCUGAGUUCUCCUCUGAUUUUUUUUCUUUGUAUUUUGGUCUUUCUAUUUUUUUCUUUUCCUUUCGAUUCUCUACUCUGCCUUACUCUGUGUUUUUUUCUUUUCCUUCUUUCUCAGAUACUAAAUCGAUAGACUGAAACUGGUGUUUAACAACGUGUAAAGAAACGGCGCCGUUUUAGACAAAGUAUACAGAUUUGCGGCGUUUUAAGGAAACAACGCCGUUAUUGCUUCCAUAAUUUCCAAAAUUAAAUUCCGAAACAGCACCGUUUUAAGAACCUUAAAUAUAUAUUUGCGGCAUUUUUAGCAAAAACGCCACUAAAAAUUACCUUACUGAAUAGAAACGGUGCCGUUUUAAGAAACUUUAACCAUAGUUCUGGCGUUUCCCAAAAAACGCCACUAAAAUUUCAAGUCCUGAAGAGAAACGGUGACGUUUUGAAAAACAUUAAUACAUAAUUGUGGCGUUUUUAGCAUAAACGCCACUAAUAGAUUACACUCCUCUUCUGAAACGGUGCCGUUCUGAGAAACUAUAACACAUAUUUACGGCGUUUUCCCAAAAAACGCCACAAAUUAAAUUAAAUUUCUAAAUGGGAACGACGUCGUUUUGAAAAAAAUGGGUACAUAGUUGCGGCGUUUCUAUGCAAACGCCACUAAUGUUUUUUAUUUCUUAUAAUGUGGUCCUAUAUAUCCAAAAUAAAUAAUUAUACCUAAAUAUUCGUAUAUAUAUCAAUCUAUUACUUUUAUAACUUAUUUAUUAAUUCUAUUUAAACUAAUAUUUAAAUAUAUCAAAUGAUUUAGAUUAAAAUUUUUAAAUAUAAAAGCAUUAAAGUAUAAAAUUUUAUCAUUUAAUAAAUCUUAAGUCCCCAAUCAAUAAUUAACCUUAAAUCCUAAUUUAACCAUUCAAUACAUGUAAUUAAAUUACAAAAACUAAUUAAUCUAAACCUAAAACCCUAAAUUGACCCUAAAUCUCUAAACCCUAAAUCAUAUAAUUCUUAACCCCUAACGUCUAACCCCUAACCCCUAACCCCUAAACCUUAAAUCCCAACCCUUAAACCAUAAUCCCUAGUCCUUAAUCCCUAAAUCUAUACUCCAUAAACCUUAAAAUAUUAACUCCUAAACUGGCCUUAAAUAUUAAAUUAAUACCCUAAACCCUAAACCCUAAACAAAGUCGUAAAUAUCUCUUUUAUAAUUAUAUAAGAAAAUAUUUAAAAUAUAAAUUCAAAAACUAAUUAAUCUAAACCUAAAACCCUAACCCAACCCCUGAAUUCGGCCUAAAACCUAAAUCAUAUUCUUAACCCCUAAUGUCUAUCCCUAAACCCCAAACCUUUAAAUCCCAACCCUUAAACCAUAAUCCCUAAAUCCAUACCCCUAAACCUUAAAAUAAUAACUCCUAACCCGGUCUUAAAUCUUAAAUUAAUCAUAUACCCUAAACCAAAAACCUUAAACAAAUUUAUUAUUACCCCUUUUACAAUUAUAUAAAAACAUAUUUAAAAUAUAAAUUAAAAAACUAAUUAAUCUAAACCAAAACUCUAACUUGACCCCUGAAUCCCUAAACCCUAAAUCCUUAACUAUUAAUGCUUAACGUCUAACUCCUAACCCCUAAACAUUAACCUUAAAAUAAUAACUCCUAAACCGGCCUUAAAUCUUAAAUAAUUAAUAAUCAUAUAUAUACCCUAAAUUAAACCAAAAACCCUAAACUACAGUGAUAAUUAAUUCAAUAUUUUAAUAUUAAUACUAUCUCUUUUACGAUUAUAUAAGAAAUUAUUUAAUAUAUAAAUUAAAAAACAAUCAGUAAUCAUGUACCCAAAAAACUUUAAAAUUAUUUUAAAUAAUAUUAUUUUAAUUUUUCAUUUAUUUUAUUUCAAAUUAUUUCCACAUGUUAUUAUUUUUUUUGAAGAUUUUAAAUAUUCAAUUACAAAUAAAUUGAAUUUUAUUUAAUUAAUAUAAAUAAACUAGUUAAGAUAAAAUGUCCUUAGCGGCACUUUUCCAUAAAACGCCGCUAAAUACCUCAGCAUUAGCGGCGCUUUUCCAGAAAACGCCGCAUUAGCGGCGCUUUUACAAAAACGCCGCUAAGAGCCCAUAGAAUUAGCGGCGCUUAUUAAAAAACGCCGCUAAAGACCCGAAAGUAGGAAAACGUCGUCGUUUUGCUUUGGCUAUUUUGCGGCGUUUUUAUUAAAACCGCCGGUAAUGGUUCUUUUUAGCGGCGUGUUAUUUAAAAAGCCGCUAAUGCUCCUAUUUUAGCGGCGUUUUCUUAAAAACACCGCUAAUUCUCGAUUUUUUCCGGCGUUUUUUGUUAAAACGCCACUAAAGGUGCCGCUAAAAGCCUGCUUUGGUGUAGUGUAUUCUUCAUGUUACUACUAUUAUAAUACGUAUAUAGUAAAUAAAAUUUUCUUUUCUUAUUACUACAUUAAUAAUGAUUAAUUUUUGAUGGGGUCUAAUUUGAACCUAAUGGAGUCCACCCGAAUAAUUAAUCAUUUUCUUUUUAUAUGUGGAGAUGAAAAGAAGCAUGGUAAUAAUAUGUAUUUAAAAUUAUACAUAGUGCGGGAUAGUGGUGAUAAAGAUAGAUUUAAAAUAUUAGGGAGUGGCGGUAAAGAUAAACAAAGAUUGGGAAAAUUGAUCCAAAAGCUAAUAAUGGGGUGGGGGGAAAUGUUUGUCCAUAUAUGUAUUCUACUAAAAAUGUAAAUAAUGUAAACAUUAAACACAUGUUUUUAUUAAUUUAUGAUUAACUAUAAUAUAUAUUUAUAUUUUUGGAAAAAUAAAAUAACAAAUCUUCAUGAUAUAUAGUUCUGAACAUGCAGUUAGCUGCCAUAUGCAUGGAUCUCUUGAAAAUGGACCUCUUGAAUGUACCCAAACUUCCUAGCAAUCCAUUGUUUGUCUCUCUCAUUCUCCUUUUCACCCUUUUAAUUUGGCUCAAACUAGCAAAAAGGAAACACCUCAAUUUGCCUCCAUCACCCCCAAAGCUACCUAUUAUCGGUAACAUUCAUCAACUUGGCAAACUUCCCCACCGUUCUCUUCGAGACCUCUCAAGGAACUAUGGUUCUCUCUUGCUUCUGCAUUUGGGUUGUAACCUAACGUUACUGGUUUCAUCAGCCGACAUGGUUAGAGAAAUUCUAAAAGACCAUGACGUUGUUUUCUCCGACAGACCAAGUUCCACUGCAACAAAUAUCUUGUUUUAUGGAUGCAGGGAUAUAGGUUUUGCACCCUAUGGUGAGUACUGGAGACAACUAAAGAAGCUCAGUGUUGUUGAGCUUCUUAGCCACCGAAGAGUACACUCAUUUCAGUUUGUCAGAGAUGAAGAAGUUGGACUUCUUAUCAACAAAAUCCGCCGUGCUUGUCUUAAAGGAGACUCUAUUAAUCUCUCAGAGAUGCUUAUGUUGGUUUCUAGCAACAUAGUUUCUCGUUGUGUUAUUAGUCGAAGAAGUGAAGAAGAAGAAGAAGAAGAUGGGUGCUGCAAGUUCGGGCAGUUGGCAAAAAGAACGGGGGUUCUCCUCACAAGUUUCUGUGUAGGGGAUUUGUUUCCUUACCUGAGGUGGGUCGAUGUGCUUACUGGAUAUAUUCCACGUUUGAAAGCAUUAUUUGGAGAACUGGAUUCAUUUUUUGAUCAGAUUAUUAAGGAGCAUACAACAUUGAAAACUGAUGACCAAGUUUCCAAUAAGGACUUCAUUUCUACAAUUAUGCAGCUCCAAAAGGAUGGCAUGCUUGAGAUUGAUCUCACUAACAUCAAAGCAAUCUUACUGGUUAUUCAACACCCUCUCCUUCCUAUGUAUAUAGCAUUCCCCCCCUUUUGCAUGUUGGUCAUAGGUCUUUAAUUUUGUCAAUCUCAGGACAUGCUCGUCGCUGGAACGAAUACCACUGGAGCGGCAAUACAAUAGAUUACGGCUGAACUCCUAAAGCGUCCAAAUGUAAUAAAAAAGGUCCAAGAAGAGGUAAGGAAUGUGGUGGGAAACAAAUGUAAGGUGGAUAUGGAGGAUAUCAAUAAAAUGAAGUACUUAAAAUGUGUGCUCAAAGAAACUUUAAGACUGCAUCCGACUGUUCCUCUUCUUAUUCCUCGACAAACAUCUGCAAGUGUUGAAUUGGGUGGCUACCACAUUCCUUCCAAUAUCACCAUCUUGAUAAAUGCAUGGGCCAUUCAAAGAGAUCCCAAAUGGUGGGAAAACCCAGAAGAGUUCAUCCCAGAGAGGUUCGAGAAUAGCUCCAUUGAUUUCAAUGGUCAAGAUGUGCAGUUCAUCCCAUUUGGUUUUGGAAGGAGGAACUGUCCUGGGAUGCCCUUUGCAGUUACUGUUAUUGAGUAUGUGAUGGCUAAUCUUUUGUAUUGGUUUGUGAUGAAGUUGGUUCAGCAUGCAGCAAACUCGACAGCAUGCAGGCCAUGAAGACCAAGACAUGCCGGAGCUGCUGAUGCAAGCUUAUUUUGUUUAUUUUGUAAUUCCUAGUCAAUGAAAUGUAAUCUUAGUUCAUUUCUAACUAAGUUAGGUUGUUGACUGAUGUAAUUAGCUUAUGUAUGAGCUGUAAACACAACUUUGUAUAAGUUUACAAGCCAAAAUUUCAAGUUUCCAUGUCAUUAGUGGAGGUAGGUGAUGUUUAGCUAAUUACUUACUGUUUUUGACAAGCUUAGUGCCUGGUUUAUGUAUUGGCAUUGUGCCAUUAUGCAAUUUAUGAAUGAAGUUCAGUUUGUUCAUCAAUUUUUCUCUUCAUUUUCUCUUAGCUUUUCUUCCUUUCUCUUGCUCGAAUUCUCUUGUUUGCUCAGCAAGUCUCGAGACUUGCUCGACAAGUCUGUACUGAAUCUGUUAGUUUCAGUUACAGCACCAACAAUUGGUAUCUAGAGCCUAUUUCUUAAGGGAUCUGUUACACAAAUCCAUGGCUUCAUCAAGCUUUUCACCAGCUGCACCUCAAGUCUUCAAUGGAGAAGGCUAUCACAUAUGGGUGGUCAAAAUGAAGACCUACCUGCAGGCUUUCGAUCUGUGGGAGGUGGUCAACUCUGAUGUUGAACCAGAGCCACUUAGAGCUAAUCCAACAGUGGCUCAGAUCAGGCAGCAUGCUGAUGAAAGGACCAAGAGGCACAAGGCUAUGUCUUGCAUCCAAAACUCAGUGUCUGAUGUGAUUUUCACAAGGAUUAUGGCCUGUGAAUCACCAAAACAGGCCUGGGACAAGUUGCAGGAAGAGUUUCAAGGGACAGUGAGGACAAGGCAGCAACAGUUGUUGAACUUGAGGAGAGAUUUUGAGAAUUUGAAGAUGAAGGAAGAAGAAACUGUCAAGCAAUAUUCUGACAGGAUUAUGGCUGUGGUUAACAGCAUCAGGCUCUUAGGAGAGCAGUUCAAUGAAGCUAGGAUAGUGGAGAAGGUUAUAGCAACUCUGCCUGAGAGGUAUGAGGCAAAAAUCUCAUCUCUCGAGGACUCAAGGGACCUGUCCACCAUCUCCCUGAUAGAGUUGAUCAAUGCUCUAUAUGCUCAAGAGCAGAGGAGUGCAAGCAGACUGGAGGAGCACCAAGAAGGUGCCUUUCAGGCAAGAACAAAUACUGCCUACAAAGGCAAAAAGGCCUGGAGAGACAAGCCAAAGAAUGAUGCUGCAAGGAGAGAAGGUCAGACUUGCAAGCACUGCAGAAAGGCUGGUCAUUCAGAAGAAAAAUGCUGGUUCAAUCCAGAUGCUGUGUGUCAGCAUUGUAAGAAGAAGGGUCAUGUUGAGAGAGUCUGUAAGAGCAAGGCCAAAUCAAGGCACAAUCAGUUUCAACAGAUGAAAGCUGAGGCUCGAGUAGCUAAGGAGGACAGUGACCAAGAGGAGCAAGUCUUUGCUGUGUCAUGCUCAGCUGCUCAGGAAAGGUCCUCAUCUGGUUGGCUCCUAGACAGUGGAUGCACCAACCACAUGACACCUGAUGCUGCAAUCUUCAAGUCUUUAGACAGAAGCUGCAGAACUAAAGUCAAGAUAGGAAAUGGUCAUUUUAUUCAAGCUGAAGGCAAGGGUGAUGUGCUGAUAUGCACCCUUACAGGUACCAAAGUGAUUUCAAAUGUGCUGUUGGUGCCUGAAAUUGACAGAAACCUGCUCAGCAUAGCUCAGUUGCUGGAAAAAGGUUAUUCAGUUGUGUUUAAAGACCACCAGUGCCAAGUCAGUGAUCCAAGUGGAUCCAAACUGAUGGCAGUCCCCAUGGCUGAUAAGAGCUUUGUGGUUGACUGGACAAAGAAGUCAGACAUUGCCUACACAGCCACUUCAGAUGAAUCCAAGCUGUGGCAUCAAAGACUGGGACAUGCCAACUUCAUAUCGAUGGCCCGAAUGAUCAAAGAAGACUUGGCUGAAAACUUCAUCAACUCAGUGGACCAUGAUGAUGUAUGUGAAGUAUGUCAGCUAGGAAAGCAGGCCAGACUCCCAUUUCCCUCGAAUCAAGCUUGGAGAGCCUCUGAAAAACUCCAACUGGUGCAUACUGAUGUGUGUGGCCCUAUGAAGACUGAGUCAUUAAGUGGAAACAGGUAUUUCACACUGUUCAUUGAUGAUUUCUCGAGAUAUUGCUGGAUUUACUUCUUAAAACAGAAAUCAGAGGUGGCCACUGUGUUUUGGAAGUUCAAAACUGCUGCUGAGACUGAAACAGGCUGCAAGGUGAAGACCAUAAGGUCUGAUAAUGGGACUGAGUACACCUCAGCUCAGUUCCAAGGCUUCUGUGAUAAGGCAGGCAUCAAACAUCAACUUACCAACACAUAUACACCUCAGCAGAAUGGGGUAAGUGAAAGGAAGAAUAGGAGUUUGAUGGAUAUGGCCAGGUGCUUGAUGAUUCAGAAGAAUCUGCCUAAAGCACUAUGGGCAGAAGCAGUUAACACUGCAACAUACAUUCAGAAUAGACUUCCAACCAAGGCUUUGGAUCAAAAGACCCCAUUCGAGGCCUGGUUUAGCUUCAAGUCAUCACUGGCUCAUCUGAAGGUCUUUGGAUGCAUCUGUUAUGCACAUGUACCUGUUGUUAAAAAGGACAAAUUGUCUGAAAGGGCUCGACCUAGUGUUUUGGUGGGCUAUAGCACUGUUAAGAAGGGCUAUAGGAUUUUAGAUCCUUCAACAAACAAAGUGUCAGUAAGCAAGGACGUGGUAUUUGAUGAGAGGUCAUGUUGGAACUGGGAAAGACAUGAACCUGAAGAAGUUUCUAAAGAACUUGCAGCAGACCAAGCUGAGCCAGACCAAAAUGUCCCUGAAAUGGAUAUUGAUGAUGAACCAGUCAGAGGAACAAGGCCAUUGGCUGAGAUUUAUGAAAGGGCUCAUGUAGCCAUAGCUGAACCAAGCAACUUUGAAGAGGCUGAGGCUCAGCAAGGGUGGAAGCAGGCAAUGGCUGAGGAGAUCAGCAUGAUUGAGAAGAACCAGACCUGGGAAUUGGUUGAAAGGCUAGUCAAAAGGAAGGUGAUUGGGGUGAAAUGGGUGUACAAAGCCAAGCAGAAUGCUGAUGGUACCUUGAACAAGCUGAAAGCAAGGCUAGUUGUCAAGGGGUUCAGUCAGAGGUAUGGCUUGGACUACCUGGAGACCUUUGCACCAGUGGCCAGGCUCGACACCAUCAGACUGUUGAUUGCCUUAGCAGCACAGCUCGAAUGGAAGAUCCAUCAACUUGAUUGAAAUCAGCCUUUCUGAAUGGUUUCUUAGAUGAAGACAUCUAUGUUGAACAACCACAAGGGUUUGAAAUAGCUGGCAGAGAGCAUAUGGUCUACAAACUGAAGAAAGCCCUAUAUGGAUUAAAACAGGCUCCAAGGGCUUGGUAUAGCAGAAUCGAUGGCUACUUGACUGAUCUGGGAUUCGAUCGAAGCAAGAGUGAGCCAACACUGUAUGUCAAGAAACAAGGGACACAAAUACAACUCAUUGUGUCCCUGUAUGUUGAUGACCUUCUGGUGACAGGAGGAGAUCGAGUAGUGCUGGCUGAUUUCAAGACCAAGAUGCAGGAAGUGUUUGAAAUGUCUGAUCUUGGGGAGAUGUCCUAUUUUCUUGGAAUGGAGGUGUCUCAAGUACAGAAUGAGAUAUUUCUAAGCCAGAGAAGCUUUGCCACAAAGAUUCUGACCAAGUUCUCCAUGCAAAACAGCAAGGCAACUAAAACACCUGUAGCUGUUGGAGAAAAACUAUCGAGCCAAGGUGAUUUUGAGAAAGUAUGUGAAACAACCUACAGGAGUCUAGUUGGUUGCAUGCUAUACUUGACUGCCACUAGACCAGACAUCAUGUAUGCUGUAGGAUUGCUCUCAAGGUUCUUGCAUUGCUGCAAUGAGAAGCAUUUCCAAGCUGCAAAGAGAGUGCUGAGAUAUGUCAAAGGCACUUUAAACUAUGGUUUGAAGUAUAGCAAAGAAGGAAAUCUGAAGCUGGUUGGCUACACUGAUAGUGACUGUGCUGGCUCGAUAGAUGACAUGAAAAGCACCUCAGGGUAUGCUUUUAACCUUGGUUCAGCCAUGUUUUGCUGGAGCUCAAAGAAGCAAAGUCUAGUAGCUCAAUCUACUGCUGAAGCAGAGUAUGUGGCAACAGCAAGUGCUGUCAACCAAGCCAUAUGGCUAAGGAAAAUAUUGGCUGACUUGAAUGUGCAUCAAGAGGAAGCUACUGAGAUCUUCUGUGACAACCAAUCUGCAGUAGCAAUUGCUAAAAAUCCAGUGUUCUAUGGAAGAACAAAACAUUUCAACAUCAAGUUGCAUGUUGUUCGAGAAAUGGAGCAAGCUCAGGAAGUAAAGCUGAUCCACUGUAAUUCAGAGGAUCAACUUGCAGACAUUUUAACCAAAGCCCUUAGUGUCACAAGGUUCGAAUGUCUAAGAAAGAAGCUAGGUGUUUGCUCCAUGCAAACCAAGGAGGAGUGAUGAAGUUGGUUCAGCAUGCAGCAAACUCGACAGCAUGCAGGCCAUGAAGACCAAGACAUGCAGGAGUUGCUAAUGCAAGCUUAUUUUGUUUAUUUUGUAAUUCCUAGUCAAUGAAAUGUAAUCUUAGUUCAUUUCUAACUAAGUUAGGUUGUUGACUGAUGUAAUUAGCUUAUGUAUGAGCUGUAAACACAACUUUGUAUAAGUUUACAAGCCAAAAUUUCAAGUUUCCAUGUCAUUAGUGGAGGUAGGUGAUGUUUAGGUAAUUACUUACUGUUUUUGACAAGCUUAGUGCCUGGUUUAUGUAUUGGCAUUGUGCCAUUAUGCAAUUUAUGAAUGAAGUUCAGUUUGUUCAUCAAUUUUUCUUUUCAUUUUCUCUUAGCUUUUCUUCCUUUCUCUUGCUCGAAUUCUCUUGUUUGCUCAGCAAGUCUCGAGACUUGCUCGACAAGUCUGUACUGAAUCUGUUAGUUUCAGUUACAGCACCAACAGUUUGACUGGAAGUUACCUGUGGGCGAAAUUGCUGAGAACUUGGACAUGACUGAACUCUAUGGCCAAACAGUCAAUAGGAAAAACCCUCUUCAUGUUGUACCUAUAUCUCAUUUCAGUUUUUAGAUAUUAUAUAUUGGCUAUGGUUUGAGUCUUUCAGCUCUUUCUUUUAUUUGGAGAAGACAAUGUUACUAUCUUUGGUUCUUGUUGUAGUAAUUCAACGAAUCCUUAUCGUGCAAGUGAUCAAUAUAAUAAUUCAAGUAACAUUUUACAAAUUUGUUCCAUGUGAA